rnacentral:lncRNA from 1 species
GCUCUGCGCCGGUGCGCCUGCCGAAACUUUUGGCCGGCUGCGCGCGGGUCAUACGAUCCAUCAACCCCCGCGCGUCUGCAUCCUUGGAUCUGCAUGCAACAUCUUUUUCCCCGAUGCAGCAAAAAUCUGACACGACGCAGCAAUUUUUUCAACGCUUGCAACAAAAAACAAAAAAUAUAGUAAAAAAAUAUCUACGUGAUCGUAGCAAAAAAACGAAGCUGAUGUUGCGUGGUAGCAAAAGUCAAACGCCGUUUGUAACAAAUAUCUACGUAAACGUGUAUGCAACUUUUUAGUGAACGGUUGCAGCAAAAAAUAAUGCAGGUUGUAGCAAAAAUUAACACGGUUGUAGCAAAAGUAAAAAACAUCGAUUGUAACGAAAAAUCCGACGAACUGGAGUUGCAACCAAACGUAUAUGCAUCUUUUUUACUGAACAUAUGUAGAAAAUAAAAACGUUUGUAGCAAAUAUGACGCUGGUUGCAAUAUUUUAGACAGAAAAAUGUUGCAUGCCCAGUCAGCGCUCAGCGCGCGAGCCGCGUGCGGCCGGCCGAACGGUUCGACCGGCGCACCGGCCAGAAACGAUUCCCUUUUUUUAAGGAUAACCUCCGGCCUCUGCAUGAGAGCAAUGUAUGUGGUCCCUUAAAUAAGAAUGCAAACACAAAGUCUGAAGUUCCGAAUAAUCUCUAACGAGUAAACAUAAACCAAAUAAUAAAAGUAAAGGAUGCCACAACCGGGAAAAAUAGGCCAAGUUGCCUAGCCAUCUAUCCUAUUACUGGACCGUCAUGGAGACCGGUUAUAGAUAUCCCGUGCUACUGUCUCCCAUCGGAUAGACCCAGUAACCAAAGGCUUCUUGAUUUCCGCAUGAGUGAGUAAGGACCACAUACGGAUGAAUGCCGACGCCCUGUGAAGUACCUGCAAAAAAUUUAUAUGUGUUUGUCUGUUUAAAGACCAAGUCAUUCCUUCAAUUCCAUAUCGCCCAAAGAAGUGUGCAAACUCCUAUGUGAAUAUGUCUAGCCAUAAUCAAGUCCACUCCAUUGAGCCACGCACCAAACAACGUGUCAAUGCUAUCAGGCGGUAUGAUAUUACAUGCUAUGAGGAUUGUCUGCCAUAAGAUUUUCGCUAAUGGGCAAUGGAGAAAAAGGUGUUUGAUUGUCUCCUCAUCAUCACAAAAGCUACAACGAGUACUCCCCUCCCAAUUGCGUCGUGUCAAAUUAUCCUUAGUGAGAAUCACCUUCUUGUGAACAAACCACAUGAAUACUUUGAUUCUUAAAGAAACCUUGAUCUUCCAAAUAUGAAUCGACUUGGGGACUACUGUUGUGUCAAUAAGGUUCACAUGCAUGGAUUUCAUAGAAAAGAUGCCCUUAUUUGUUAGCUUUCACUGAAGCUUGUCAGACUCAUCCGAUAGGUGAACAUCCAUUUGUCUUCUCACUAAGUGGAUCCACUCAUCCCAUCGAUGUCCUAUCAAAUCACGUCUGAAUUGAAUAUUUAGAGAAUUUGAUUGAAAUACUAUGGCAACGUACGCAUCCUUACGUUGCACAAUAUUGUAGAGAGACGGAUAUUGUUUGGCUAGAGGCGUCUCCCCCCCAACAAAGUAUCUUUCCAGAAUCUCGUAGACCGACCAUCUCCAAUGAUAAAUUUAGUUCUAUGGAAAAAUGAUGCUUUCACUUUCAUCAAACCUUUCUAGAAUGAUGAAUCAUUGGGUCUUGGUGUGAGCUGGGUCAAGCUUUUAGAAUGCAAGUACUUAUUACGCAAAAUUUGUAUCCACCUACCUUCAGUCUCUACAGAUAGUCUCAAUAGCCACUUACUAAGCAGGCAUUUGUCCUUAACCUCUAAAUUUUCAAUUCCAAGACCUCCCUCGUCCUUGGGUCUACAUAUAAUGUCCGAUCUAGUAAGUCUGUACUUCUUAUUUAUUUCAUCAUUUUGCCAAAAGAAACGAGAUCGAUAAAAGUCCAAUCUUUUGCGUACUCCUACAGGUACCUCAAAGAAGGAGAGAAGGAACAUAGGCAUACUUGUCAUGACCGAGUUAAUCAAAAUCAGCCUACCGCCAUAAGGCUAAAGCUUGACCUUCGAGCAGCUUAGCUUUUUCUCAAAAUGAUCCUCAAUACACUUCCACUCUUUGUUUGAAAGUUUACGAUGGUGAAUGGGUAUGCCUAAAUAACUGAACGUAAGCUCCCGAACUCAUAUCUGAAGAGUUGUUUAUAAUCAUCUUGUUCAUCUUUGGCUCUUCCAAAACAGAAAAAUUCGAUCUUGUGGAAAUUAAUUUUAACCCCGGCAACUGUUUGAAAAGGCAAAGGAUAAGUUUCAUGUUUCUUGCUUUUGCUAUAUCGUGCUCCAUAAACAAUAUAGUAUCAUCAGCAUAUUGUAGAAUAGACACCCACCAUAAACUAGAUGUGGUACCAGUCCACCUACCUGACCUUCCUCUUUAGCCCUUCCUAUUAGAAUUGCUAACAUGUCCGCAUUUACAUUAAAUAGGAUGGGUGACAUAGGGUCUCCCUGCCGGAGCCCUUUGUGCGUUUGGAAAAAAUGACCAAUGUCAUCAUUGAUUUUAAUUCCAACGCUCCCUUUUUGUACAAAUGAUUUGACAUUCCCUCUCCAUAUGUCAUCGAAUCCCUUCAUACGCGAAGCUUGUUGUAGGAAAGACCAUUUAACCUUGUCGUAUGCCUUCUCGAAAUCCACCCUGAAGAUAAACCCGUCUAGUUUACUCGAGUGGAUUUCAUGUAGGGUUUCGUGAAGGACAAGCACACCCUCAAGUAUGUUUCUCCCCGACAUGAAGGCUCUUUGACUAGGUUGCACGACAACAUGUGCAUUCUGUGUCAAUCUAUUAGUUCCAACCUUUGUGAACAUUUUGAAGCUCACAUUAAGAAGGCAAAUUUAUCUGAAGUUUUCAAUGUGUACUGCCCCUCCUUCUUUGACAACAACAUAACUGUCCCAAAGUUAAGGUGGAAAAGUUGCAGAUUGUCAUUAAACAAAUCCUGAAACAUCGCUAGUAAAUCACCUUUAAUAAUGUGCCAACAUUUAUUAUAAAACUUGACCGGGAACCCAUCCGGUCCUGGCGCCUUAUUAUUUUUCAUUUGUGAAAUUGCCUCAAACACCUCUUUCUUCAUAAAGGGUGCGGUUAAUAUCUCAAUCUCGUUUGUCCUGAGGAAUAUCACCCACCCACUGCUCAUUCAUGGACAACGUAUUGUCCUCAGGAGGUCCAAAUAGUUGCUUAUAAUACUCAGAUAUGUACACCUUUAGGUUUUCAUGCCCAACAACUGUACCAUCAUCUUGUUCAAGUUGAUAUAUUAUUUUCUUUGUGUUUUCCAUUGGCAAUAAGAUGGAAAAAUUAUGUGUUGUCAUCCCCUUGAAUGACGUGAUGCACUUUCACUCUAACUGCCCACUUCAGUUCUUCUUCUGUGAGGAUCUGUUUCAGAUUUUGCUCUGCCUCCGCUCUUAAUGCCCUCUCAUUAUCUUCCAAGAGGGCGGAUUCGGCUUUUAAAUCAAGCUCAUUUAUAAAUUGAGAUGACAACCAGUGAUACAAAGCUCCCCAAUAAAAAAUUGCAAUUGGGUACUUGGAUAAUCGACCCAACGCCCCCAUAGAAAGGGAGAUGAAGCAGGAUGAAGUACCACCAGAAAGGAGAUGAAGUGUCCCUCGCUGACGAUCAAGAAGGAGGAAAAUCUGAUGCCCUCCAUAAGAGACCAACGCAGCGGCGGCGACCCAACACACAAAUACAAGCUUUGUGACUCCACACCGACUUUGGAUCAUGCAUCGACACAACAACGAACCAGAGCAAAAUAUCCCUUUCAAGGUUUAAGUCGCCGCUACACCAGCCUUGAUCCAUUCCCAAGGGACAGCAGGAACACAUCUCCUUCACACAUUAACAGAUAUGUGUCAGGGUUGGUUGUUCUAGGAUUUUAAAUUUCCAUCAAAAUGACCCUUGUGCAUACGAGCCCCAGGAAUACUGUUAGGUAGUGCACAAUUCCUUCAUACAAAUAUCCAAGCAAUUACAUAAUUUUGGAGUACAAGACCAUCAUGGCCUAUGGAGUACAACAAAAUUGUGGGUGGUCGGGAUGCUGCCGACCUUUUUAGUGAGAAAACAUGGCAGAAUUAUCGCGUGUAGUGAUGAGGACAUCGAUACCAUAGUUACACCCACGACCCCUGUUACUACAUAUAUUGGGCCAAUUACUAGAGCUCGUGCACGCCAAUUAAAUGCUCAGGUGCAUCCAUUUCUUGGGAAUGAUUCUAAUGUUCAUGAGAAUAUUAUGCUGCCUAAACUAGAUACAUUUAUGUUUAUUACUAAUGAAGGGACUAGGAUGGACAAGAGGGGUGAACACUGGAGCAGGAUCAAGCAUGAAGAUGAAGGCGUGCACAAAGGAAACUAGAACCUCGUUUCUAGUGGAGUUUUCAGCAUUUUGAAGCCACAUGAUGACAUGCAAGGACAUGGUCGAAAUAUACAAGAUGAUCUUCCAUGAAUUUUCUCCAAAGUUUAUUAUAGGUUCCGCGUCACCUUAUUUUGGGGUUAGGUCCAUGUAAUUUCGAAAUACAAUUUAGUAGGAUCGUUUUAGAGUUUGUAUUAUAAGGGAAACAACUUAUGAGGUGUUUUCACUCCCAUCUUGUUAAGGUUGGACGAAAUCCCCUCCUUUCCCCCUAUAAAUACAACACUUAAGGCAUUGUUUAAACUUGGGCUUUGUUUAGAUUAAAGUUUGCUGCAGCUGCAACCCAUUCUGCAACUAGACCAAGAUGUCACAUAACCCCACUUUUAUCAAUAAAUCUUUCUUCUUAUAUUCGUAAUAUUCAAAUUGUAAUUUCAGUUUCUUACUUGUUCUUCAUUUGCAUGCAGGGAACAGAUCCUCGUGAUCAGGUUGAUCAUGCUCCGACAUGAUCAAUAACCUCUCAGAGUUGGUUUAGCAAUUGCUAAGGCGAAACCUCUUUGCACUGUCGUAGUCGGAUCAUCAAAAUCUAUUACACCGAAAAGGAUAGUUACCAUCUCAUCAAAAGAUGGUCCACCUUCACCUCUAUCAGGUAGUUGGCAUGCAACGAUCGUCAUUAAUUAGCUAAAUUCCCGAUGGGAUGGAAAUUCGAUCGUGUGUAUCCUUAACAGAGGGGGAAGGUGGGCCGCACAGGAGGACGAGGAGGGGCUAAAAUUUUCCUCCUCCGCAAACGGUUAGCAUGGAAAACCCUAUUCGGCGCUCCACGCGCCGGUUUAAGGGCAAUUUUCCUAACCGGUGCGUGCACCGUGUUAGCAGGCCUGGCCCAUUUACCUGUUUUUUCUUCCUCGUGUGAAAGGUAAAAAAGGAAGGCGACGGGGAGUUCGAACUCAGAAUCUGUUGGUUUACGUACUAGCGCACUCACCACUAUGGCAAAUACACCGAUGUGAAAAGUCAUAUUUUUCCCUUUUUUAUUUUCUCGAGUUCGCAAGAAGCCCCGAUUUUGGGAUGCUUGUAGAACUUUCUAAACCGGUUUUAUGUGGUUCGUUGGGUAAUUUUCCAUCUGGUUCUUAUUCGUUUUUUCUCUCUAUUUUAACGUUUCUUUUUCAAAAAUGAUGAAUUUUUUAAAAUUUUGAUGAACUAUUUAUAAAAAACUAUGAACUUUUUUACAAAUUUGGUGAACUUUUUUUAAGAUCGUUGAACUUUUUUUAAGAUCAAGGAACUUUUUCAGACAUGAUGAACUUUUUCGGAAUUGAUGAGAUUUUUUUCAAAUUCGAAUGGACUUUUUUAAAAUUCAUGAUUUUUUUCAUUUUUUGGAAAUCGAUGAACUUUUUUCAUUUUUUAAAUUGUACCUUUUUCCUUUUUAAGUGCAUAAUUGAAAGGAGGGAGCAGAAAAAACCAAACGGAUUUUAGCGAACGAAUAGUGACGAAUAGAGAACGAGCGAAGGAUUAGUGGGUGAGGCCUAAUAGGGAUCCCUAGUGUGCGGCAACUAAGUUAUUGGGCGCUGAAGGCCGGCAUUUCGUAUUUGACUCUAAAAACGUUAGUUAAUGUGCAUUUUUGUUAACUGAUGCCCGUGUCGUUCAAACUGGGCCAACCCAUCUAGGCGCUUAUGAUGUUUUUGUUUUUUUGAAAAUUCUAUGAACUUAUUUGAAUAUCGAUGAACUUUUUUUCAAUUUCAAAGAAUAAUUUUCACAAUAAAUGAACUUUUUUAAAUAAGGAUAAUUUUUUUUGAAAUUUUAUGAACAUCUUUUUGAAAAUGGAUGGACUUUUUUAAGAUUUAUGAACUUUUUUUUAGUUCAAUGAACUUUUGUAAAGAAUACAUGAACUUUUUUUGAACUUUUAUGCACUUUUUUUCAAAUUUAUUGAACUUUCUAAAAAAUUACUAAACUUUUUCUAAAUUGGAUGAAAAUUUUUCAUUUUAAAUGAACUUUUUUUCAAAUCCUGAACUUUUUCCAUAAUUGAUGAACCUUUUUUAAAGAUAUGAACUUUUAUCUUCAAAUGUGUAAACCUUUUUUAUUUUAUAUUUUUUCGUAAUAGAAAAUUAAAAAGGAAGAAACUGGACAACUUUUUAAUGGACCGACCCAUGCUUGCAGCGCUGCACGCGCCGGAUCGGUAACGGCUGCCUGUAGCGCUGCAUAGGAGCUUCCGUGGAGGCGUCGUAUAGGAGCUUGAUACGUCUCAAACGUAUCUAUAAUUUUUUAUGGUUUCAUGCUGUUAUCUUAUCAACUUUGGAUGUUUUAUGUACCUUUUAUAUCUUUUUGGGACUAACUUAUUAAUUCAGUGCCAAGUGUCAGUUCCUGUUUUUUUUUGUGUUUUUGACUCUUUUCAGAUCUGAUUUUGGAACGGAAUCCAAACGGAAUAAAAUCUCCGAGAUAAAUUUUUCAGAACAAAAGAAGAUCGGGGGACUUGAGGGCUGAUGACCCACAAGUAUAGGGGAUCAAUCGUAGUCCUUUUGAUAAGUAAGAGUGUCGAAUCCAACGAGGAGGAGAAGGCUGUGAUAAACGGUUUUCUGCAAGGUAAUAACUGCAAGCACUGAAAGUAGCGGUAACAAGUGAUGGUGUAGUGAGGUGAAACAUAACAAGCGAAAAGUAACAAGUAACAAGUAGUAGCAACGGUGAAGCAAGUGGCCCAAUCCCUUUUGUAGCAAGGGACAAGUCUGAAGAAAGUCUUAUAAGUGGAAAGCGCUCCCGAGGACACACAAGAAUUUCUGUCAUGCUAGUUUCAUCAUGUUCAUAUGAUUCGUGUUCGUUACUUUGAUAGUUUGAUAUGUGGGUGGACCGGCGCUUGGGUACUGCCCUUACUUGGACAAGCAUCCCACUUAUGAUUAACCCCUCUCGCAAGCAUCCGCAACUACGAAAGAAGAAUUAAGACAACGUCUAACCAUAGCAUUAAACUAGUGGAUCCAAAUCAACCCCUUACGAAGCAACGCAUAGACUCGGGCUUAAGCUUCUGUCACUCCAACAACCCAUCAUCUACUUACUACUCCCCAAUGCCUUCCUCUAGGCCCAAAUAUGGUGAAGUGUUAUGUAGUUGACGUUCACAUAACACCACUAGAGGAAAAACAACAUACAUCAUAUCAAAAUACCGAACGAAUACCAAACUCACAUGACUAUUAUUAGCAUGACUUAUCCCAUGUCCUCAGGAACAAAAGUGACUACUCAUAAAGCAUAAUCAUAAUCAUGAUCAGAGGUGUAAUGAAUAGCAUCAAGGAUCUGAACAUAAACUCUUCCACCAAGUAAUCCAACUAGCAUCAACUACAAAUAGUAAUCAACACCACUAGCAACCUUACAAGUACCAAUCGGAGUCAUGAGACGGAGAUUGGUUACAAGAGAUGAACUAGGGAUUGGAGAGGAGAUGGUGAUGAUGAAGAUGCCUCCCCUCCGACGAGAGGAGUGUUGAUGAUGACGAAGGCGACAAUUUCCCCCUCCGGAAGGGAAGUUUCCCCGGCAGGAUCGUCCUGCCAGAGCUCUAGAUUGCAUCUGCUCAAGUUCCGCCUCGUGGCGGCGGCGAAACCACGAAAAAGCUCCCGAAUGAUUUUUUCUGAAAUAAAUCCUUCAUAUAGCAAAAGAGGGGGGCCAGUGGGCCGCCAGGGUCCCCACAAGCCCUGUUGCCGCGACCAGGGGGGUAGGCUGUGGCAACUAGGCUUGUGGGCCCCUAGUUGCUCCCCUCUGACACUUCUUUCGCCUAGUAAUUUUUAUAAAAUCCAAAAAAAAUCCACGUUGAUUUUCAUGACAUUUGGAGUUGCGCGGAAUAGAGCACUCAGACUUGCUCCUUUUCCAGUCCAGAAUUCGAGCUGCCGGUAUUCUCCCUCUUCAAAUAAACCUUGCAAAAUAAGAGAGAAAAGGCAUAAGUAAGGUUCCACAAAGUAUAAUAACAGUCCAAAAAGCGAUAAAUAUCAACAUGAAAGCAUGAUGCAAAAUGGACGUAUUAACUCCCCCAAGCUUAGACCUCGCUUGUCCUCAAGCGAAAACCAAGACCCAAAACAUGUCCACGUGUUUAGGGAUGAAGGUGUUGAUAAAACAAAAUACGGACAUGAGGGCAUCAUGACCAUACAUAGAACAGGAACACAUCAUAGAGAUUCUUAUGGGAAAGUAACAAUUGCUUCACAAAGCAAAGUAUGAAACAAAAACCUUAUCGAGAAGUGGCCAACAACCGUCCAAAGUCAUUGAAGCAAUUGCAAUUUAUCACAUUAUCAGAAAGAGUCCAAUAAGAGCUUGUAAGGCAAAUCCACAUACUCAAUCAUCUCUUUUGUUUUCCAUCAUUGUUACUACUCACGUGGUACUCAUGGUAUUGAAGUUUCAGUUGGACACAGAGAAAGAUAGGGGCUUAUAGUUUGCCUCCCAACCAUUUACCUCAAGGGUAAAGUCAACAAUAAUAAAGCAUAAGUACUUAGCUCCAAGUUGAUAUAUGAAUAUAGAUCUUUCCCAAGCAUAUGACGUUCACCAAGAAAAAGGCUAAAUAAGGAAUUGGUGAAGAUCACCAUGACUCUUACAAGGGCAAAAAGUAAAUGUACAAGAUAGGCCCUUCGCAGAGGGAAGCAGAGGUUGUCAUGCGCUUUUGAUGUUUGGAUGCGUGUCCUCUUAGUGCGGAGGAACGUCACUUUAUAUUGCCUCCUAUGAUAAAGAACUUUAUUAUGCAGUCUGUCGCUUUUAUGUCUUCCUCAUCACAGGUUCGUACAAAGCUUAUUUUCCACACACUAAUAGAGCAUACAUAUUAGAGAGCAAUUUUUAUUGCUUGCACCGAUGACAACUUACUUGAGGGAUCUUAUUCCAUCCAUAGGUAGGUAUGGUGGACACUCAUGGCAAAACUGGGUUGAAGGUUUAUGGAUGCACAAGUAGUAUCUCUACUUGGUGCGGGAUUUUUGGCUAAUAUGAGGUGGAAGCAAUCGUCACAUGCUAAGGGAUCUCUAAUCAUAUAACAUUGUUUGGAACUAAGCAAACACAAUUCAUUAUGUUGUCUUCCUUGUCCAACAUCUACUUCUAAGCAUGUAAUAGUUUGGCUAGUGCUCACAAUUAUAGAAAGUGCCUAAGAUGAUAUAUUUAUAUGUGAACCUCUCUGUCCUUAUUACUUCUUAUUAAUUGCAACAAUGAUUGAGGUCUAUGUUGGUCUAUCUCAACAAGUUUCAAUCAUCAUACUUGUUAUAAGUGAAGCUAUCACUUUCCAUAAUAUCAUCUCAUGAUCUCUCAUGCUAUCGUUCUUUUCAUACUUUUGAUCACGGCACAAAACAAAGCCCUUGACUAAGAUACUCUUUAUUAUAUAGCUCGCAAGCUCGAAUACAUCGGGGGAGAGACAAAAGUAAAAGACUCAAUCUAAAACAGUAAAGACUUAUUCCACUAAGAGAAGAAAUAAAAACUGAAAAGGAAAGGACUAAAACAAAGGUAAAAGCAAAAGAUAUAAAGGUGAUACGAUACCAGGGCAACUCCCCCAAGCUUGGCAAAAGCCAAGGGGAUUGCCCAUACCAAUGCUUAGUUGUCUUCCUUUGGUGGUGAUGGUGGUGGUGUUGUUGAAGUAGUCUUGAGCUUGUCUAAUUUCCACUUGAGCAAAAAGUUCUGCUCCCUCAGAUCGUCAUUUUCCUCCGCAAGCUUCAACACUCUAUGACAAAGUUCCUGCUUACUCUCGUGCAAGAAACGAGAAGGGAUAAACAAGGUCUUAGGCUUCUUCCUUUGGUCAGGGAGGCUUGACUUCUUGAACUCCACGUGAGUGCAUCCAGGUUGGGGUAAAGGAGCCUCCUCUUCAUCGGAACUCGUUUGUUCCUUCCCCUUGGGCUCAUAGUCCUCUUCCUCGUCAGUAGUCCAGCCAUAAGGCUCCAAGUCCCCAUUAAUCCUGGAGUUAGCAUGAUCAUCGGCCAUAUAGAUCUCUUCUUCUGAAUCUUGAGAAGACAUCUUGACCUAAAUCUGCGGCAGACAACAUGCUCGAAACAUCUUGACCUAAAACUGCACGAUACGGAGAUCAAAACCAUCUGGACCAGAAGGAGUGCUCCGCAAGAAAACAGAGUCCGGGAGGCACACGAGCUGCCGACAAGCCCUGUUGCCGCGGCCAGGGGGGAGGCCGCGGCAACCAAGCUUGUGGCCGCCUCCUGCGCUCUCCAGACUGCUUUUUAUUUUUCUAAUUUUCCAUAAAUUCCAAAACGGAGAAAAAUUCCUAUUGGAAAAGUUUCGGAGUCCAAUUACUUACUGAGACAUAUACCUCUUGGUUUUUAGGGUCUCAAACAGGCUGAUAAACAUCCCUUAUGUACUCCUCUGGAGUUAUGAUAUUGAUGAUAUUGGUCUCAACAUUUAUGGGAGUACCAGAGAUAUAAUGCUUGAUUCUUUGCCCAUUUACCACUCUAGGAAAAUUGCCUUCCGUAUUACUGAUUUUGAUGGCACCGGAAUGAUAUACUUCCUCGACAAUGUAGGGACCUUCCCAUUAAGAGAGAAGCUUGCCUGCGAAGAAUCUCAAACGAGAAUUGUAUAGUAGGACAUAGUGACCUACAUUGAACUCUCGUUUUUGUAUUCUUUUAUCGUGCCAUCUCUUAACCUUUUCCUUGAACAACUUGGCAUUCUCGUAUGCCUGGGCCCUCCAUUCAUCUAAUGAGCUGAUAUCAAACAAUCGCUUCUCACCGGCAAGUUUGAAAUCAAAGUUGAGCUCUUUGAUUGCCCAAUAAGCUUUGUGUUCCAGCUCAAGAGGUAAAUGAGAAGCCUUACCGUAAACCAUUUUAUACGGUGACAUGCCCAUGGGAUUCUUAUAAGCAGUCCUAUAAGCCCAUAGUGCAUCGUCAAGUUUGCUAGACCAAUUCUUUUGAGAUCUAUUCACGGUCUUUUGUAAGAUCAAUUUGAUCUCCCUAUUACUCAACUCCACUUGACCACUAGACUGAGGAUGAUAAGGAGAUGCAACUCUAUGGUUGACAUCGUACUUAGCGAGCAUCUUGCGGAAAACACCAUGAAUGAAGUGUGAACCGCCAUCAGUCAUCAGAUAUCUAGGGACUCCAAAUCUUGGGAAAAUGUCUUCUUUAAGCAUCUUAAUAGAGGUGUGGUGAUCAACAUUUUUAGUGGGGAUAGCUUCUACCCACUUAGUGACGUAGUCCACAGCAAGUAAGAUGUGAGUGUAUCCAUUGGAGCUCGGGAAGGGUCCCAUAUAAUCAAAGCCCUAGACAUCAAAUGGUUCAAUGACCAGUGAAUAGUUCAUAGGCAUUUUCUGACGCUUACUGAUGUUCCCUAUUCUUUGGCAUUCGUCACAAGACAGUACAAACUUACGGGCAUCCUUGAAGAGUGUGGGCCAAUAGAAAUCUGAUUGCAAUACCUUAUGAGUUGUUCUGUCUCCAGCAUGGUGUCCUCUGUAAGCCUCGGAAUGACACUUCUUCAGGAUCUGUCCCUGUUCAUGUUCAGGCACACAAUGUCUAAUAACACCAUCUACUCCUUCCUUAUAGAGGUGAGGAUCAUCCCAAAAGUAGUGUCUCAAAUCAAAGAAGAAUUUCUUCUUUUGCUGGUAGGUGAAACUGGGUGGUAUGUAUUGGCUACGAUAUAGUUUGCGUAAUCAGCAUACCAUGGUGCACUAUGUGAAGUGCGGAUGACAUUCAAUUGCUCAUCAGGAAAGCUGUCAUCAAUAGGUCGUGGUGUUGGGGAACGUCGCAAGGGAAACAAAAAAUUUCCUACGCGCACGAAGACCUAUCAUGGUGAUGUCCAUCUACGAGAGGGGAUGAGUGAUCUACGUACCCUAGUAGAUCGUACAGCAGAAGCGUUUAGAGAACGCGGUUGAUGUAGUGGAACGUCCUCACGUCCCUCGAUCCGCCCCGCGAACAAUCCCGCGAUCAGUCCCACGAUCUAGUACCGAACGGACGGCACCUCCGCGUUCAGCACACGUACAGCUCGACGAUGAUCUCGGCCUUCUUGAUCCAGCAAGAGAGACGGAGAGGUAGAAGAGUUCUCCGGCAGCGUGACGGCGCUCCGGAGGUUGGUGAUGAUCUUGUCUCAGCAGGGCUCUGCCCGAGCUCCGCAGAAACACGAUCUAGAGGAAAAACUAUGGAGGUAUGUGGUCGGGCAGCCGUGAGAAAGUCGUCUCAAAUCAGCCCUAAUACCUCAGUAUAUAUAGGAGGGAGGGGGAGGGAAGAGGCAGCCUCAAACCCUCAAGGUUUGGCCGAAAUUGGAGGUGGAGGAGUCCUACUCCAAUCCUACUUGGAGUAGGAUUCCACCUUCCCACUUGAAAACUCUUUCCACCUUGUGUUUUUUCCUUCUCAAACCUUAUGGGCCUUAGUGGGAACUUAUUCCAGCCCACUAGGGGCUGGUUUAUCUCUUCCCAUAGCCCAUGAUACCCCUUGGGGCGUGACACCCCUCCCGAUGGUCCCCGGCACCCCUCCCGGCACUCCCGGUACACUACCGAUGAGCCCGAAACUUUUCCGGUGACCAAAACAGGACUUCCUAUAUAUCAAUCUUUACCUCCGGACCAUUCCGGAGCUCCUCGUGACGUCCUGCAUCUCAUCCGGGACUCCGAACAACAUUCGGUAACCAACCAUAUAACUCAAAUACGCAUAAAACAACGUCGAACCUUAAGUGUGCAGACCCUGCGGGUUCGAGAACUAUGUAGACAUGACCCGAGAGACUCCUCGGUCAAUAUCCAAUAGCGGGACCUAGAUGCCCAUAUUGGAUCCUACAUAUUCUACGAAGAUCUUAUCGUUUGAACCUCAGUGCCAAGGAUUCAUAUAAUCCCGUAUGUCAUUCCCUUUGUCCUUCGGUAUGUUACUUGCCCGAGAUUCGAUCGUCAGUAUCCGCAUACCUAUUUCAAUCUCGUUUACCGGCAAGUCUCUUUACUCGUUCCGUAAUACAAGAUCCCGCAACUUACAUUAAGUUACAUUGCUUGCAAGGCUUGUGUGUGAUGUUGUAUUACCGAGUGGGCCCCGAGAUACCUCUCCGUCACACGGAGUGACAAAUCCCAGUCUCGAUCUAUACUAACUCAACGAACACCUUCGGAGAUACCUGUAGAGCAUCUUUAUAGUCACCCAGUUACGUUGCAACGUUUGAUACACACAAAGCAUUCCUCCGGUGUCCGUGAGUUAUAUGAUCUCAUGGUCAUAGGAACAAAUACUUGACACGCAGAAAACAGUAGCAACAAAAUGACACGAUCAACAUGCUACGUCUAUUAGUUUGGGUCUAGUCCAUCACAUGAUUCUCCUAAUGAUGUGAUCCCGUUAUCAACUGACAACACUUGCCUAUGGCCAGGAAACCUUGACCAUCUUUGAUCAACGAGCUAGUCAACUAGAGGCUUAAUAGGGACAGUGUUUUGUCUAUGUAUCCACACAAGUAUUGUGUUUCCAAUCAAUACAAUUAUAGCAUGGAUAAUAAAAGAUUAUCAUGAACUAAGAAAUAUAAUAAUAACUAAUUUAUUAUUGCCUCUAGGGCAUAUUUCCAACACGUGGGUCAUCAAGGACAUUCUCUAGCCUAGACAAGUUAUCUGCUACAGGGUUAUCAACACCCUUUCGGUCAACAACAUGCAAAUCAAAUUCCUGUAGCAGAAGAACCCAUCUGAUUAGCCUAGGCUUAGCGUCCUUCUUCUCCAUGAGGUACUUAAUAGCAGCAUGAUCAGAGUGAAUAAUGACUUUGGAGUCAACUAUAUAAGAUCUGAACUUUUCACAUGCAAAUACGACUGCUAAAAACUCCUUCUCCGUAGUGGCAUAGUUUCUUUGGGCACUGUCUAGAGUUUUACUAGUGUAGUGAAUGACAUUCAACUUCUUGUCAACUAUUUGUCCUAGAACAGCACCAACAACAUAAUCACUAGCAUCGCACAUGAUUUCAAAGGGCAAGUUCCAUUCUGGUGGUUGAACAAUAGGUGCGGUUAUCAAGGCCUUCUUAAGUAUUUCGAAAGCUUCCUCACAAUCCUCAUCAAAAACAAAAGGAACAUCCUUCUGCAAGAGGUUGGUAAGAGGCCUAGAAAUCUUAGAAAAGUCUUUAAUGAACCUUCUAUAGAAACCAGCAUGACCUAGGAAACUCCGUAUACCUCUGAUAUCUGUGGGGCAAGGCAUUUUCUCAAUUGCAUCAACCUUAGCCUUAUCAACUUCAAUGCCUCUCUCAGAGAUUUUGUGUCCUAAGAUGAUGCCUUCAUUAACCAUGAAGUGGCACUUCUCCCAGUUCAAGACGAGGUUGGUAUCUUUGCAUCUCUGUAAGACUCGAUCAAGGUUGCUGAGGCAAUCGUCAAAGGAAGAACCGUAGACGGAGAAAUCAUCCAUGAAAACCUCAACAAUAUUUUCACAAAAGUCGGAGAAUAUAGCCAUCAUACAUCUUUGAAAGGUGGCUGGUGCAUUGCACAAGCCAAAAGGCAUGCGUCUACAAGCGAAUGUACCAAAGGGGCAUGUGAAGGUGGUUUUCUCUUGAUCAGAUUGUGCAACAGGUAUUUGCGAGAAACCUGAAUAACCGUCUAGAAAGGAGAAGUGUGUGUGUUUAGAUAGCCUUUCUAGCAUCAGGUCAAUAAACGGCAAAGGAUAAUGGUCUUUCCUAGUUGCCGUGUUCAGUUUCCGGAAGUCUAUCACCAUCCUAUAGCCAGUAAUAAUCCUGUGCGGGAUUAGUUCAUCCUUAUCAUUAGGAACGACAGUGAUACCUCCCUUCUUAGGUACGCAAUGUACUGGACUUACCCAAUCACUAUGAGCAACAGGAUAAAUGAUUCCUGCUUCAAGAAGCUUUAAUAUUUAUUUUCUCACGACCUCUUUCAUCCUAGGAUUUAAUCUCCUUUGAUGAUCAGCAACUGGCUUAGAAUCAGGAUCGGUUUUAAUCUUGUGCUGACAUAGAGUGGGACUAAUACCCUUAAGAUCAUCAAGAGUAUAUCCAAUAGCCUCACGGUGCUUCCUCAAAGUUUUAAUAACUUCUUCUCUUCGUGAUUCGAGAGGUGAGCACUAAUAAUAACAGGAUAUAUCUCCUUCUCAUCAAGAUAAGCAUACUUAAGAGUAUAUGGUAACUGUUUUAGCUCGAACACAGGAUCACCCUUUGGUGGGGGAGGAUCCUCAAGCAGUUCAACAGGCAGAUUAUUCUUGAGAAUAGGAUAUUGUUCUAAAACAAUUUUAUCUAUCUCAUCUCUUUCCUCCAUAUGCAUAUCAUUUUCAUGCUCAAGCAGAUAUUGCUCUAAAGGAUCCGUAGGAGGUACGGCAAUAGAGGCAAGAGCAAUGAUUUCAUCCCUACCAGACGACUCUUUUUCAUGGGGUUGUCUUCCAAACUUGGAGAAGUUAAAUUCAUGAGACACACCUUCGAAAGUAACAGUGACAGUCUGUUUAAUGCAAUCAAUGUGAGCAUUGACAGUGUUGAGAAAGGGUCUACCAAAUAUGAUGGGACAAAAGCUAUCUUGUGCAGUACCAAGGACGAGGAAAUCAGUAGGAUACUUUGUCUUACCACACAGGACUUCUAUGUCUCUCACAAUUCCUAGAGGGCAAAUAGUGUCUCUAUCAGCUAGCAUAAUAGUGACAUCAAUCGGUUCUAACUCAGCAGGUGCAAUCUCAUCUUUGAUUUUGUUGGGGAACGUCGCAAGGGAAACAAAAAUUUUCCUACGCGCACGAAGACCUAUCAUGGUGAUGUCCAUCUACGAGAGGGGAUGAGUGAUCUACGUACCCUUGUAGACCGUACAAAAGAAGCGUUAGAGAACGCGGUUGAUGUAGUGGAACGUCCUCACGUCCCUCGAUCCGCCCCGCGAACAAUCCCGCGAUCAGUCCCACGAUCUAGUACCGAACGGACGGCACCUCCACGUUCAGCACACGUACAGCUUGACGAUGAUCUCGGCCUUCUUGAUCCAGCAAGAGAGACGGAGAGGUAGAAGAGUUCUCCGGCAGCGUGACGGCGCUCCGGAGGUUGGUGAUGACCUUGUCUCAGCAGGGCUCCGCCCGAGCUCCGCAGAAACGCGAUCUAGAGGAAAAACCGUGGAGGUAUGUGGUCGGGCUGCCGUGGAAAAGUCGUCUCAAAUCAGCCCUAAAACCUCCGUAUAUAUAGGUGGGAGGGAGGGGGCCUUGCCUUGGGGUCCAAGGACCCUCAAGGGGGUCGGCCGAGCCAAGGGGGAGGACUCUCCCCCCCAAAACCGAGUUGGACUAGGUUUGGUGGGAGGGAGUCCCCCUCCCUUCCCACCUCCUCCUUUUUUUUCCUUUGAUUUCUUAUCCUUGGCGCAUAGGGCCCUUUUGGGCUGCCCCACCAGCCCACUAAGGGCUGGUGCUCCACCCUUAUGGCCUAUGGGCUUCCCCGGGGUGGGUUGCCCCCCCCCGGUGAACUCCCGGAACCCAUUCGUCAUUCCCGGUACAUUCCCGGUAACUCCGAAAACCUUCCGGUAAUCAAAUGAGGUCAUCCUAUAUAUCAAUCUUCGUUUCCGGACCAUUCCGGAAACCCUCGUGACGUCCGUGAUCUCAUCCGGGACUUCGAACAACAUUCGGCAACCAACCAUAUAACUCAAAUACGCAUAAAACAACGUCGAACCUUAAGUGUGCAGACCUUGCGGGUUCGAGAACUAUGUAGACAUGACCCGAGAGACUACUCGGUCAAUAUGCAAUAGCGGGACCUGGAUGCCCAUAUUGGAUCCUACAUAUUCUACGAAGAUCUUAUCGUUUGAACCUCAGUGCCAAGGAUUCGUAUAAUCCCGUAUGUCAUUCCCUUUGUCCUUCGGUAUGUUACUUGCCCGAGAUUCGAUCGUCAGUAUCCGCAUACCUAUUUCAAUCUCGUUUACCGGCAAGUCUCUUUACUCGUUCCGUAAUACAAGAUCCCGCAACUUACACUAAGUUACAUUGCUUGCAAGGCUUGUGUGUGAUGUUGUAUUACCGAGUGGGCCCCGAGAUACCUCUCCGUCACACGGAGUGACAAAUCCCAGUCUUGAUCCAUACUAACUCAACUAACACCUUCGGAGAUACCUGUAGAGCAUCUUUAUAGUCACCCAGUUACGUUGCGACGUUUGAUACACACAAAGCAUUCCUCCGGUGUCAGUGAGUUAUAUGAUCUCAUGGUCAUAGGAAUAAAUACUUGACACGCAGAAAACAGUAGCAACAAAAUGACACGAUCAACAUGCUACAUCUAUUAGUUUGGGUCUAAUCCAUCACGUGAUUCUCCCAAUGACGUGAUCCAGUUAUCAAGCAACAACACCUUGUUCAUAAUCAGAAGACACUGACUAUCAUUGACUAACUGGCUAGCCAACUAGAGGCAUGCUAGGGACGGUGUUUUGUCUAUGUAUCCACACAUGUAAAUGAGUCUUCAUUCAAUACAAUUAUAGCAUGGAUAAUAAACUAUUAUCUUGAUACAGGAAUUAUAAUAAUAACUACAUUUAUUAUUGCCUCUAGGGCAUAAUUCCAACAGUCUCCCACUUGCACUAGAGUCAAUAAUCCAGCCCUCACAUCACCAUGUGAAUUACAUUGUAAUAAAUCUAACACCCAUACAGUUCUGGUGUCGAUCAUGUUUUGGCCGUGGAAGAGGUUUAGUCAGCGGGUCUGCUACAGUCAGAUCCGUGUGCACUUUGCAUAUAUUCACGUCCUCUUCCUCGACGUAGUCGCGGAUGAGGUUGAAGCGUCGUUUGAUGUGUCUAGUCUUCUUGUGAAAACGCGGUUCCUUUGCUAAGGCAAUGGCACCCGUGUUGUCACAGAACAAGGUUAUUGGAUCCAGUGCACUUGGCACCACUCCAAGAUCCGUCAUGAACUGCUUCAUCCAGACACCCUCCUUAGUUGCCUCCGAGGCAGCCAUGUACUCCGCUUCACAUGUAGAAUCUGCUACGACGCUUUGCUUGGAACUGCACCAGCUUACUGCACCCCCAUUAAGAAUAAAUACGUAUCCGGUUUGCGACUUAGAGUCGUCCGGAUCUGUGUUAAAGCUUGCAUCGAUGUAACCUUUUACGGCGAGCUCUUCGUCACCUCCAUACACGAGAAACAUCUCCUUAGUCCUUUUCAGGUACUUCAGGAUAUUCUUGACCGUUGUCCAGUGAUCCACUCCUGGAUUACUCUGGAACCUACCUGCCAUACUUAUGGCCAGGCUAACAUCCGGUCUAGUGCACAGCAUCGCAUACAUGAUAGAACCUAUGGCUGAAGCAUAGGGGACGGAGCGCAUAUGCUCUCUAUCUUCAUCAGUUGCUGGGCACUGAGUCUUACUCAAUCUCGUACCUUGUAAAACUGGCAAGAACCCUUUCUUGGAUUGUUCCAUUUUGAACCUCUUCAAAACUUUAUCAAGGUAUGUGCUUUGUGAAAGUCCUAUCAGGCGUUUUGAUCUAUCCCUAUAGAUCUUAAUGCCUAGAUUGUAAGCAGCUUCUCCUAGGUCCUUCAUAGAGAAACUUUUAUUCAAGUAACCUUUUAUGCUCUCCAAAAGCUCUACGUUGUUUCCAAUCAGUAAUAUGUCAUCCACAUAUAAUAUUAGAAACGCCACAGAGCUCCCACUCACUUUCUUGUAAAUACAAGAUUCUCCAACCACUUGUAUAAACCCAAAUGCUUUGAUCACCUCAUCAAAGCGUUUGUUCCAACUCCGAGAUGCUUGCACCAGUCCAUAAAUGGAUCGCUGGAGCUUGCACACCUUGUCAGCAUUUUUAGGAUCGACAAAACCUUCGGGUUGCAUCAUAUACAACUCUUCCUUAAGGAAACCGUUAAGGAACACCGUUUUGACAUCCAUCUGCCAGAUUUCAUAAUCGAAAAAUGCAGCUAUUGCUAACAUGAUUCUGACGGACUUAAGCAUCGCUACGGGUGAGAAAGUCUCAUCGUAGUCAACUCCUGGAACUUGUGAAAAACCCUUUGCCACAAGUCGAGCUUUAUAAACGGUCACAUUACCGUCAGCGUCCGUCUUCUUCUUAAAGAUCCAUUUGUUCUAAAUAGCCUUGCGGCCCUCAGGUAGUAUCUCCAAAGUCCACACUUUGUUCUCAUAAAUGGAUCCUAUCUCGGAUUUCAUGGCUUCUAGCCAUUUGUUGGAAUCUGGGCCCACCAUUGCUUCUUCAUAAUUUGCAGGUUCAUUGUUGUCUAACAACAUGAUUGAUAAGACGGGAUUACCGUACCACUCUGGAGCAGCGCGUGAUCUCGUCGACCUGCGUGGUUCAACAGAAACUUGAACUGGAGUUUCAUGAUCAUCAUCAUUAACUUCCUCCUCAACCGGCGUCGCAACGACAGAGGUUUCCCCUUGCCCUGCGCCACUAUCCAGAGGGAUGAGAGGUUCGACAACCUCGUCAAGUUCUAUCUUCCUCCCACUCAAUUCUCUCGAGAGAAACUCCUUCUCGAGAAAAGCUCCGUUUUUAGCAACAAACACUUUGCCCUCGGAUUUGAGAUAGAAGGUGUACCCAACUGUCUCUUUUGGGUAACCUAUGAAGACGCACUUUUCCGCUUUGGGUUCCAGCUUUUCAGGCUGAAGCUUUUUGACAUAAGCAUCACAUCCCCAAACUUUAAGAAACGACAACUUUGGCCUUUUGCCGUACCACAGUUCGUAUGGUGUCGUCUCAACGGAUUUUGAUGGUGCCCUAUUUAAAGUGAAUGCAGCUGUUUCUAAUGCAUAACCCCAAAAUGAUAACGGCAAAUCAGUAAGAGACAUCAUAGAUCGCACCAUCUCUAACAAAGUACGAUUACGACGUUCGGACACACCAUUACGCUGUGGUGUUCCAGGCGGUGUUAACUGCGAAACAAUUCCACAUUGUCUUAAGUGAGCACCAAACUCGAAACUCAGAUAUUCACCCCCACGAUCAGACCGUAGGAACUUGAUCUUCUUGUUACGAUGAUUUUCCACUGCAUUCUGAAAUUGCUUGAACCUUUCAAAUGUUUCAGACUUGUGCUUCAUCAAGUAGACAUAACCAUAUCUACUUAAAUCGUCAGUGAAGGUGAGAAAAUAACGAUAUCCGCCGCGUGCCUCUACGCUCAUUGGACCACACACAUCGGUAUGUAUGAUUUCCAACAAGUCACUUGCACGCUCCAUUGUUCCGGAGAACGGAGUCUUAGUCAUCUUGCCCAUGAGGCAUGGUUCGCACGUGUCAAGUGAAUCAAAGUCAAGUGACUCCAAAAGUCCAUCAGCAUGGAGUUUCUUCAUGCGCUUUACACCAAUAUGACCUAAACGGCAGUGCCACAAAAAUAUGGCGCUAUCAUUGUUUACUCUAACUCUUUUGGUCUCAAUGUUAUGUAUAUGCGUAUCGCUAUCAAGAUUCAAUAUGAACAAUCCUCUCACAUUCGGUGCAUGACCAUAAAAGAUGUUACUCAUAGAAAUAGAACAACCAUUAUUCUCAGACUUAAAAGAGUAACCGUCUCGCAAUAAACAAGAUCCAGAUAUAAUGUUCAUGCUCAACGCAGGCACUAAAUAACAAUGAUUUAAGUUCAUCACUAAUCCCGAUGGUAGCUGAAGUGACACUGUGCCGACGGCGAUUGCAUCAACCUUGGAACCAUUUCCUACGCGCAUCGUCACUUCAUCUUUCGCCAGCCUUCGUCUAUUCCGCAGUUCUUGUUUCGAGUUGCAAAUGUGAGCAACAGAACCGGUAUCGAAUACCCUGGCACUACUACGAGAGCCGGUUAAGUACACAUCAAUAACAUGUAUAUCAAAUAUACCUGAUUUUUCUUUGCCCGCCUUCUUAUCUGCCAGAUACUUGGGGCAAUUGCGCUUCCAGUGACCCAUACCCUUGCAAUAGAAGCACUCUGUUUCAGGCUUAGGUCCAGCCUUGGGUUUCUUCGGCGGAUUGGCAACAGGCUUGCCGAUCUUCUUCGAAUUGCCCUUCUUGCCUUUGCCGUUUCUCUUGAAACUAGUGGUCUUGCUCACCAUCAACACUUGAUGCUCUUUACGGAGUUCAGACUCUGCGACUUUCAGCAUCGCAAACAACUCGCCGGGAGACUUGUUCAUCCCUUGCAUGUUGUAGUUCAACACAAAGCCUUUAUAGCUUGGUGGCAGUGAUUGAAGGAUUCUGUCAGUGAUAGCUUCUUGCGGGAGUUCAAUCCCCAGUUCAGCUAGACGGUUUCAGUACCCAGACAUUUUGAGCACAUGUUCACUGACAGACGAGUUUUCCUCCAUCUUGCAAGCAUAGAAUUUAUCGGAGGUCUCAUACCUCUCGAUCCGGGCGUUCUUCUGAAAGAUAAACUCCAACUCCUGGAACAUCUCAAAUGCUCCAUGGCGCUCAAAGCGACGUUGAAGUCCCGGUUCUAAGCCAUACAAGACUGCACAUUGAACUAUUGAGUAGUCCUCCUUACGUGCUAACCAAGCGUUCUUAACAUCCUGAUCAGCCGUAGCGGGUGGUUCAUCUCCUAGCGCAGCAUUAAGGACAUAAUCCUUCUUCCCAGCUUGUAAGAUUAGCUUAAGAUUACGAGCCCAGUCUACAAAGUUGCUUCCAUCAUCUUUCAACUUAGCUUUCUCUAGGAACGUAUUAAAAUUCAGGAUGACAGUCGCGUGAGCCAUGAUCUACAACACAAAUAUAUUCAAAGUGGACUUAGACUAUGUUCAAGAUAAUUAGAGUUCAACUUAAUCAAAUUAUAUGCUAAACUCCCACUCAAAAAGUACAUCUCUCUAGUCAUUUGAGUGGUUCAUGAUCCACUUACACUAUCCCAAGUCCGAUCAUCACGUGAGUUGAGUAUAGUUUCAGUGGUAAGCAUCCCUAUGCUAAUCAUAUCAACUAUAUGAUUCAUGAUCGACCUUUCGGUCUCAUCUGUUCCGAGGCCAUGUCUGCACAUGCUAGGCUCGUCAAGCUUAAUCCGAGUGUUCCGCGUGCGCAACUGUUUUGCACCCGUUGUAUGUGAACGUUGAGUCUAUCACACCCGAUCAUCACGUGGUGUCUCGAAACGACGAACUGUAGCAACGGUGCACAGUCGGGGAGAACACAAUUUCGUCUUGAAAUUUUAGUGAGAGAUCACCUCAUAAUGCUACCGUCGUUCUAAGCAAAAUAAGGUGCAUAAAAGGAUUACCAUCACAUGCAAUUCAUAAGUGACAUGAUAUGACCAUCAUCACGUGCUUCUUGAUCUCCAUCACCAAAGCACCGGCACGAUCUUCUUGUCACCGGCGCCACACCAUGAUCAUCCAUCAACGUGUUGCCAUCGGGGUUGUCGUGCUACUUAUGCUAUUACUACUAAAGCUACAUCCUAGCAAAAUAGUAAACGCAUCUGCAAGCACAAACGUUACUAUAAAGACAACCCUAUGGCUCCUGCCGGUUGCCGUACCAUCGACGUGCAAGUCGAUAUUUCUAUUACAACAUGAUCAUCUCAUACAUCCAAUAUAUCACAUCACAUCGUUGGCCAUAUCACAUCACAAUCAUACCCUGCAAAAACAAGUUAGACGUCCUCUAAUUUUGUUGUUGCAUGUUUUACGUGGUGACCAAGGGUAUCUAGUAGGAUCGCAUCUUACUUACGCAAACACCACAACGGAGAUAUAUGAGUUGCUAUUUAACCUCAUCCAAGGACCUCCUCGGUCAAAUCCGAUUCAACUAAAGUUGAAGAAACCGUCACUUGCCAGUCAUCUUUGAGCAAAGGGGGUUGCUCGUAAUGAUGAAACCAGUCUCUCAUAAGCGUACGAGUAAUGUCGGUCCAAGCUGCUUCAAUCCAACAAUACCGCAGAAUCAAGAAAAGACUAAGGAGGGCAGCAAAACGCACAUCACCGCCCACAAAACCUUUUGUGUUCUACUCGAGAAGACAUCUACGCAUGAACCUAGCUCAUGAUGCCACUGUUGGGGAACGUCGCAAGGGAAACAAAAAUUUUCCUACGCGCACGAAGACCUAUCAUGGUGAUGUCCAUCUACGAGAGGGGAUGAGUGAUCUACGUACCCUUGUAGAUCAUACAGCAGAAGCGUUUAGAGAACGCGGUUGAUGUAGUGGAACGUCCUCACGUCCCUCGAUCCGCCCCGCGAACAAUCCCGCGAUCAGUCCCACGAUCUAGUACCGAACGGACGGCACCUCCGCGUUCAGCACACGUACAGCUCGACGAUGAUCUCGGCCUUCUUGAUCCAGCAAGAGAGAUGGAGAGGUAGAAGAGUUCUCCGGCAGCGUGACGGCGCUCCGGAGGUUGGUGAUGAUCUUGUCUCAGCAGGGCUCCGCCCGAGCUCCGCAGAAACACGAUCUAGAGGAAAAACUAUGGAGGUAUGUGGUCGGGCAGCCGUGAGAAAGUCGUCUCAAAUCAGCCCUAAUACCUCAGUAUAUAUAGGAGGGAGGGGGAGGGAAGAGGCAGCCUCAAACCCUCAAGGUUUGGCCGAAAUUGGAGGUGGAGGAGUCCUACUCCAAUCCUACUUGGAGUAGGAUUCCACCUUCCCACUUGGAAACUCUUUCCACCUUGUGUUUUUUCCUUCUCAAACCUUAUGGGCCUUAGUGGGAACUUAUUCCAGCCCACUAGGGGCUGGUUUAUCUCUUCCCAUAACCCAUGAUACCCCUUGGGGCGUGACACCCCUCCCGAUGGUCCCCGGCACCCCUCCCGGCACUCCCGGUACACUACCGAUGAGCCCGAAACUUUUCCGGUGACCAAAACAGGACUUCCUAUAUAUCAAUCUUUACCUCCGGACCAUUCCGGAGCUCCUCGUGACGUCCUGGAUCUCAUCCGGGACUCCGAACAACAUUCGGUAACCAACCAUAUAACUCAAAUACGCAUAAAACAACGUCGAACCUUAAGUGUGCAGACCCUGCGGGUUCGAGAACUAUGUAGACAUGACCCGAGAGACUCCUCGGUCAAUAUCCAAUAGCGGGACCUGGAUGCCCAUAUUGGAUCCUACAUAUUCUACGAAGAUCUUUAUCGUUUGAACCUCAGUGCCAAGGAUUCGUAUAAUCCCGUAUGUCAUUCCCUUUGUCCUUCGGUAUGUUACUUACCCGAGAUUCGAUCGUCAGUAUCCGCAUACCUAUUUCAAUCUCGUUUACCGGCAAGUCUCUUUACUCGUUCCGUAAUACAAGAUCCCGUAACUUACACUAAGUUACAUUGCUUGCAAGGCUUGUGUGUGAUGUUGUAUUACCGAGUGGGCCCCGAGAUACCUCUCCGUCACACGGAGUGACAAAUCCCAGUCUUGAUCCAUACUAACUCAACUAACACCUUCUGAGAUACCUGUAGAGCAUCUUUAUAGUCACCCAGUUACGUUGCGACGUUUGAUACACACAAAGCAUUCCUCCGGUGUCAGUGAGUUAUAUGAUCUCAUGGUCAUAGGAAUAAAUACUUGACACGCAGAAAACAGUAGCAACAAAAUGACACGAUCAACAUGCUACGUCUAUUAGUUUGGGUCUAAUCCAUCACGUGAUUCUCCCAAUGACGUGAUCCAGUUAUCAAGCAACAACACCUUGUUCAUAAUCAGAAGACACUGACUAUCAUUGACUAACUGGCUAGCCAACUAGAGGCAUGCUAGGGACGGUGUUUGGUCUAUGUAUCCACACAUGUAAAUGAGUCUUCAUUCAAUACAAUUAUAGCAUGGAUAAUAAACUAUUAUCUUGAUACAUGAAUUAUAAUAAUAACUACAUUUAUUAUUGCCUCUAGGGCAUAAUUCCAACAGAUUUCAUCAUAUAGGGAACGGUGUAUUGCACUAACACUAGCACCCAUAUCACAUAAACCGUGGUAACAGUGAUCUGCUAUCUUGACAGAAACAACGGGCAGGCCAACUACAUGUCCGUAGUUGUCUUUCGCGUGAGGUUUAGCAAUUCUAGUGGAGUCCUCACAGAAUUUGAUAACAUGCCCGUCUAUGUCUUCGGCUAAGAGAUCUUUGAUAAUAGCAACACUAGGUUAAAGUCUAAUUUCCUCACGGGGUGCAAGUGGUCUAAUGUAACCCCUACGUAUCACAGUUGGAGCUUUAGAAUAAUCCUUUAUCCUAGCAGGGUAAGGUGGUUUCUCAGCGUAGGCACAAGGAACAACAAGAUCACUAAAAGCAAUGACUUUCUCCUCAACUAGAUUGGUUUUGGCUAUGUUGCUUUCUACAGGAGGAUGAUAUUUAAACCACUUCUCUUUGGGAAGAUUAACAUGAGCACCAAAAGAUUCACAUAGAGAAGCUAUUAUCUCAGAGUCAAGUCCAUACUUAGCGCUAAAAUCUCUAGAAGUGUUUGUCUCAACAAAAGAUUUAACGCAAUCAAACUGGAAAUUCAUACUUGGCUCCUUACCUUCUUCCAGCUCCCAAUCUUCAGAGUUACGUUUGAUUAUUUCCAAUAAAUUCCACUUGUGGUCAAUAUCCUUCUUCAUAAAAGAACCAGUACAAGAAGUGUCAAGCAUGGUACGAUCUUCAUGAGAAAGCCGAGCAUAAAAGUUUUGAGUGAUAAUUUCUCUCGAGAGCUCAUGAUUGGGGUAUGAAUAUAGCAUUGAUUUAAGCCUCCCCCAAGCUUGAGCUAUGCUUUCCCUGUCACGAGGCCAAAAGUUAUAAAUAUAAUUCCGAUCACGAUGUACUAAAUGCAUAGGAUAGAACUUUUGAUGAAAUUCCAAUUUCAACCGAUUGUAGUCCCAUGAUCCAGUAUCAUCACAUAGCCUAUACCAUGUCAACGCCUUAUCCUUCAAAGAUAAAGGAAAGACUUUCUUAUUUACCUCAUCCUCGGGCAAACCUGCAAGCUUAAAUAAACCACAAACUUCAUCUACAUAGAUUAGAUGCAAGUCUGGAUGUGAAGAUCCAUCUCCUGUAAAAGGAUUAGCCAGCAGUUUCUCAAGCAUACCCGAAGGGAUUUCAUAAGAGAUAUUUUCAGUAGGUACCUCAGGUUGAGGAACAACUCCUCGUGCUUCCGUUCGUGGUGAAGAUACCCCGAACAAACUCCUCAAAGGAACAGUUUCCAUAGUGACAAGUGACAAUGAAUUUCAGCACAAUAUAUAAAUGUUUCCUUACCAAAUUCCACUUACCAAAGGCGCUUCCUCCCCGGCAACGGCGCAUGAAAAGAGUCUUGAUGACCCACAAGUAUAGGGGAUCAAUCGUAGUCCUUUCGAUAAGUAAGAGCGUUGAACUCAACGAGGAGGAGAAGGCUCUGAUAAAAGGUUUUCAGCAAGGUAAUAACUGCAAGCACUGAAAGUAGCGGUAACAGGUGAUGGUGUAGUGAAGUGAAACGUAGCAAGCGAAAAGUAACAAGUAACAAGUAGUAGCAACGGUGCAGCAAGUGGCCCAAUCCCUUUUGUAGCAAGGGACAAGCCUGAACAAAGUCUUAUAAGAGGAAAAGCGCUCCCGAGGACACACGGGAAUUUCUGUCAUGCUAGUUUCAUCAUGUUCAUAUGAUUCACGUUCGUUACUUUGAUAGUUUGAUAUGUGGGUGGACCGGCGCUUGGGUACUGCCCUUACUUGGACAAGCAUCCCACUUAUGAUUAACCCCUCUCGCAAGCAUCCGCAAAUACAAAAGAAGAAUUAAGACAACGUCUAACCAUAGCAUUAAACUAGUGGAUCCAAAUCAGCCCCUUACGAAGCAACGCAUAGACUGGGGUUUAAGCUUCUGUUACUCCAGCAACCCAUCAUCUACUUACUACUCCCCAAUGCCUUCCUCUAGGCCCAAAUAUGGUGAAGUGUUAUGUAGUCGACGUUCACAUAACACCACUAGAGGAAAAUCAACAUACAACAUAUCAAAAUACCGAGCAAAUACCAAACUCACAUGACUAUUAUUAGCAUGACUUAUCCCAUGUCCCCAGGAACAAAAGUAACUACUCACAAAGCAUAAUCAUAAUCAUGAUCAGAGGUGUAAUGAAUAACUUCAAGGAUCUGAACAUAAACUCUUCCACCAAGUAAUCCAACUAGCAUCAACUACAAAUAGUAAUCAACACUACUAGCAACCUUACAAGUACCAAUCGGAGUCGCGAGAUGGAGAUUGGUUACAAGAGAUGAACUAGGGAUUGGAGAGGAACUGGUGCCGAUGAAGAUGUUGAUGAAGAUGCAUCCCCUCCGACGAGAGGAGUGUUGGUGAUGACGAAGGCGACGAUUUCCCCCUCCGGGAGGGAAGUUUCCCCGGCAGGAUCGUCCUGCCGGAGCUCUAGAUUGGAUCUGCUCAAGUUCCGCCUCGUGGCGGCGGCGAAACCACGAAAACGCUCCCGAAUGAAUUUUUUUUUCUGGAACGAAACCCUUCAUAUAGCAAAAGAGGCGGGCCAGUGGGCCGCCAGGGUGCCCACAAGCCCUGUUGCCACGGCCAGGGGAUAGGCUGCGGCAACCAGGCUUGUGCCCCCCUGGUUGCUCCCCUCUGACACUUCUUUCGCCCAGUAUUUUUUAUAAAAUCCAAAAAAAAUCCACGUUGAUUUUCAGGACAUUUGGAGUUGCGCGGAAUAGAGCACUCAGACUUGCUCCUUUUCCAGUCCAGAAUUCCAGCUGUCGGUAUUCUCCCUCUUCAAAUAAACCUUGCAAAAUAAGAGAUAAAGGCAUAAUUAAGGUUCCACAAAGUAUAAUAACAGUCCAAAAAGCGAUAAAUAUCAACAUGAAAGCAUGAUGCAAAAUGGACGUAUCAAGGGCCAAGGCAGGAGAGCUACAGGGGGCCCACAAGCCAUGUAGCCGCCACCAGGGGGGCCGGUGGCUACCAGGCUUGUGGCCUCCCUGGCGCUCCCCUGCCCUAUCUCUUUCACCUAUAUAUUCCCUAAAAUCCAGAAAAAAAUGAGGUCAUCCACGAAAACACUUUUUCGCCGCCGCAAGCUUUCGUUUCCGCGAUAUCUCAUUUGGAGACCCUUCCCGGUGCCGUGCCGGAGGGGACUUUGGAGUUGGAGGGCUUCUACAUCAACAUCAACGCCUCUCCAAUGACUCGUGAGUAGUCCACUUCAGACCUACGGGUCCGUAGUUAGUAGCUAGAUGGCUUCUUCUCUCUCUUGGAUCUUCAAUACAAAGUUCUCCAUGAUCUUCUUGGAGAUCUAUCCGAUGUAAUCCUCUUUGGCGGUGUGUUUGUCGAGAUACGAUGAAUUGUGGAUUUGUGAUCAGAUUAUCUAUGAUAUAUAUUUGAGUCUUUGCUCAUUUCUUAUAUGCAUGAUUUGAUAUCCUUUUAAGUCUCUCCGAGUCUUGUGUUUUGUUUGGCCAACUAGAUCUAUGAUUCUUGUAAUGGGAGAAGUGCUUGGUUUUGGGUUCAUACCGUGUGGUGACCUUUCCCAGUGACAGAAGGGGCAGCAAGGCACACAUCGUGUUGUUGCCAUCAAGGGUAAUAAGAUGGGCUUUUAUCGUAGAUAUGAGAUUGUCCAUCUACAUCAUGUCAUCUUGCUUAAGGCGUUACUCUGUUCUUAUGAACUUAAUACACUAGAUGCAUGCUGGAUAGCGGUCGACGUGUGGAGUAAUAGUAGUAGAUGCACAAAGUAUCGGUCUACUUGUUUUGGACGUGAUGCCUAUAGAUAUAAUCAUUACCAUAGAUGAUGUCACGACUUUGCGCGGUUCUAUCAAUUGCUUGACAGUAAUUCGUUCACCCACCGUCUACUUGCUUUCAUGAGAGAAGUCACUAGUGAACACUACGGCCCCCGGGUCUAUUCACAACUAUCGUUUCCACUUUCGCUUUUACUUUGCUUUGUUUAUUUUUUGCUUUCAGUUCUCACUUUGCAAACAAUCUAUAAGGGAUUGACAACCCCUUCAUAGCGUUGGGUGCAAGCUCUUUGUGUUUGUGGAGGUACUUGUGACUCGACACGAUUCUCCCACUGGAUCGAUACCUUGGUUCUCAAACUGAGGGAAAUACUUACCGCCGCUGUGCUACAUCACCCUUUCCUCUUCAAGGGAACAUCAACGCAAGGCUCCAAGGCCGCGGGGAAAUACUUUGCAUAUUUGCCAAGGAAGUCCCUAUAGGCGUAGCCCGUGACAGAAGGAUUCCUGGCGCCGUUGCCAGGGAAGGUUUGUUGUCGCAGUAGCAGAAGGAUUUCUGGCGCCGUUGCCGGGGAGGAGGAUCGCUUGCGGAGGAGAGAUCAAGUCAAGAUCUAUCCAAGUAGGUGUCACAAACUCAUCUCUUGCAUUUACCUUUUUGCCAGUUGCCUCUCGUUUUCCUCUCCCCCACUUCACAUUUGUCGUUUUCAUUUGCCUUUUUCGUUUGCCUUUUCCGUUCGCCUUUUUGUUCGCCCUUUUUUCUCGCUUUCUUUCUGUUCGCUUGUGUGCCAUGUGCCUUCAGUAUGCUUGCAUCUUCGCUUGCUGAAAAUCUAGUGAUAUGGAUCCUCAUCAACUUGCUAAUCUCUUUAAGAGAUCCAAUUAUGUUGAUCCAAUUGCUAGUAAGUUGAGUGCACUUGACUUUCUUUAUAGAGUUUUGCUUGAGAUGCGUGAAUCUUAAAAUUGUGAGGAAGAAAUUUAUGAAGUGAUUCAUGAGGGCUCCUUGGAUGAAAAGCAUGAUUGCAAUGGUUUCACUAUAAAUUCUAUUAGUGACAAUCAUGCUAAAAAUAUGCAAAACCCUAACCUCAUGAUGAAUAUGAUAUUUGCAAUAAUAUUGAAAGUGGGUUUGGAGAAUUCAUGACUUUAGUUGAUGAUAAUCCCACUAUUUUUGAAGAGCAUCAACUUUGCAUGCAUGUGGAUCAUGAAAACAAUAUCCUAUGUGAUAUUUACAUUGUUGAAUUCGAAUAUGAUCCCACAUGUAAUUAUUAUGAGAGAGGAAAAUAUGGUGGUAGAAACUUUCAUAUCACUAAAUUACCUCUCGUUAUGUUGAGAUUGCUAUUGUCUCUUUCUUCUUCCUUGCAUAUGGUAACUAUUGGUUGUCUUGACGAUCUGUUUUCCUAUAAAAUGCCUAUGCAUAGGAAGUAUGUUAGACUUACAUGUGAUUUUUACAUGCUUCAUGAUGCUCUCGUUGUGCUUCAAUUCUUGUCUUUUGUGUGAGCAUCAUUGAACUAUCAAUGCCUAGCUAAGGGCGUUAAACAAUAGCGCUUGUUGGGAGGCAACCCAACGAAUCUAUCCUUUUUCUUUCUGUUUUGUGUUUUCCACACUUUCAUAAUUCUGUUAUGAUUGUGUUUUUUGUGUUUCCUUUUGCGUUUGUGCCAAUUAAAACCGUUAUGAUUAGUCUUGGGGAUGAUCGUUUGGUCAUGCUGGAAAAGACAGAAACUUUCUGCUCACGAAAAGAAUUUUCAUUUUUUUCCGUAAGAGCUUUUGAGUUGAUUCUUUUUGCUUCUGAUUGCUACACAAAUUCUUCAGACUGUCGUAAUUUUUCAGAAUUUUUGAAGUACAGAAGUAUACGAAGUAUACAGAUUGCUACAGACUGGUUUGCUGUUAACAGAUUAUGUUUCUAUUGAGUUGGUUGCUUAUUUUGAUGAAACUAUGGAUAGUAUCGGGGGGUAUUUGUUGGAAAUAUGCCCUAGAGGCAAUAAUAAAUUAGUUAUUAUUAUAUUUCUUAGUUCAUGAUAAUCGUUUAUUAUCCAUGCUAUAAUUGUAUUGAUUGGAAACACAGUGCAUGUGUGGAUACAUAGACAAAACACUGUCCCUAGUAAGCCUCUAGUUGACUAGCUCGUUGAUCAAAGAUGGUCAAGGUUUCCUGACCAUAGGCAAGUGUUGUCACUUGAUAACGGGAUCACAUCAUUAGGAGAAUCAUGUGAUGGACUAGACCCAAACUAAUAGACGUUGCUACUGUUUUCUGCGUGUCAAGUAUUUGUUCCUAUGACCAUGAGAGCAUAUAACUCACUGACACCGGAGGAAUGCUUUGUGUGUAUCAAACAUCGCAACAUAACUGGGUGACUAUAAAGAUGCUCCACAGGUAUCUCCGAAGGUGUUCGUUGAGUUAGUAUGGAUCGAGACUGGGAUUUGUCACUCCGUGUGACGGAGAGGUAUCUCACGGCCCACUCGGUAAUACAACAUCACACACAAGCCUUGCAAGCAAUGUGACUUAGUGUAAGUUGCGGGAUCUUGUAUUACGGAACGAGUAAAGAGACUUGCCGGUAAACGAGAUUGAAAUAGGUAUGCGGAUACUGACGAUCGAAUCGUACGGGAAAGUAACAUACCGAAGGACAAAGGGAAUGACAUACGGGAUUAUAUAAUCCUUGGCACUGAGGUUCAAACGAUAAGAUCUUCGUAGAAUAUGUGGGAUCCAAUAUGGGCAUCCAGGUCCCGCUAUUGGAUAUUGACCGAGGAGUCACUUGGGUCAUGUCUACAUAGUUCUCGAACCCGCAGGGUCUGCACACUUAAGGUUCGACGUUGUUUUAUGCGUAUUUGAGUUAUAUGGUUGGUUACCGAAUGUUGUUCGGAGUCCCGGAUGAGAUCACGGACGUCACGAGGGUUUCCGGAAUAGUCCGGAAACGAAGAUUGAUAUAUAGGAUGACCUCAUUUGAUUACCGGAAGGUUUUUGGAGUUACCGGGAAUGUACCGGGAAUGACGAAUGGGUUCCGGGUGUUCACCGGGGGGGGCAACCCUCCCCGGGGAAGCCCAUAGGCCUUGGGGGUGGCGCACCAGCCCUUGGUGGGCUGGUAGAACAGCCCAAGAAGGCCCUAUGCGCCAAGGAUAGGAAAUCAAAAAGAAAAGAAAAAAAAGAGGUGGGAAGGAGAGAAGGACUCCACUUUCCAAUCCUAGUUGGACUAGGAUUGGAGGAGGACUCCUCCUCCCUUGGUGGUGCAGCCCUUGGGGCUCCUUGAGCCUCAAGGCAAGCCUCCCCUCCCUCCUCCUAUAUAUAUGGAGCAAUUAGGGCUGAUUUGAGACAACUUUUGCCACAGCAGCCCGACCACAUAUGUGACAGCCCGAUGCCGACGUUCCAGAAGAUUCCCCUCUCUUUCCGUUUUCGUCGUGUGUCUAUUCUCUUUUGUCGCAUCAUCAUCAUCGCAUCAUGCGCAUCAUAUGCAUUGCAUCAGCAUCCCGUUGCCGCCCGUUUUCAAAACCUGCAUUCGCUAGUAGUCGCCGGUUCUCGUCGUUGUCCGUUCUGAGCCCGACCGCACUCGCACGCGCCCGCGGCACCGUCGAAACCCUGUUUUAAAAGUGUGCAUAAAACCUUCUCUGAUUGGGUUGAGAUUUGACGUGCGGUCGUUUUUUUAAUAUAGGUAGGCCGCCUGUCAAGUUUCGUCGCAAUCGGAGUCCGUCUGGUACCCGAACGGUCGUCCGUAGCGGCACCGUCUUCGGUCUAUCGCGGUCGUUUUCCCUCUCACCUCCGCCUAGCCACUCUUCACAGCCACCUAGACAUUCACGCGUCUGUGGCCGUUCGAUCGCGAUCACGUGGUCGAAAACGGAGUCGGAUUCGGAUAACCCUAGCCCCCUUUCCUAUUUAAUCUCCUCCUCCUCUCAUUUUGGACAGCCAAUCCCCCUUGCCUCGUUUUCCGUGCAAACCUAACCCUAGUCUAUCCACCUUUUCCACCUUUCAGAUCUGAUCUAGCCUCUCCAUCGAUCUAGACCGUUGGAUCGGAGAUCCAACGGAUGAAAAUACUCUUGAGCCUUCCAUGGAGCUCCUCCCGUGUCUCUCCUCGUGCCCGAGCUCCUUCCUCCCGAGCAUGGCCGCAGCUCCUCCCCGCUGCCGGAGCACCACCGGCCAGGCAGCAGCAGCCGUCGGAGCUUCUUCGCCGGGCCACCACCUUCUCCUCCCCUUUCCUCUCUCCUUCCUCUCCCUCUCCUUCCCUGCCUCGUCCUCACCUUCUUCUUCUUCUUUGCAGGUUCAAUGGCCGUCGUUGAGCUCGCCUGUGCGCCUCUCCAUGUCCUAUCUCUGGCCAGAUCCGGGAUGGAGCUGCCAGAUCCGCUCGUUCCCAUGCUCCUGUGGCCGCCCUCGCCCCAACCAGCCUCGUCACCCGGUUGCCGGCGCGUUCGUGCAUCUCCAUGGCCGACGGGAUCGGUUCCCCUGUAAGCUUCGUUCUGAAUCUGUUGCCUAGAGGUAAUAUAUGUUAGACGCUGACUUUAAUCAUGUGUUCAACGCUAGCUGAGUUGGCUAGGGCAGCCGAUCCCAUCUCCUAGCACCAGCAGGUCGAGGGUUCAAGUCCCCGUGAAUGCAUGUUUUUUAUAUGCAUUUUUUUCCUCUUGAGGAUGACCUCCUUCCUUUAUUUUAGUGUCUGUCCAGCCACUAUUAUUUCACAAACACUCGGUAGCCCAAUUGAUCAACUUUUGUUAGCAACCAUUGGAGUCCUGGGAUCAAAUCCCAGUGUCCUCCUUUUUUUUUGCUUUCGGGAAGAUUCUUUUUAGCUUUUGUAAAAUCCAUAUAAAUUCAACCGUGCGUCGGAUUGCGACAAGUUAGAUAUGUAACUCGUGUACAAUUUCGCGUAGAUUACGAAUUUGUAACUUGCAUAAAUGUUUGAAAUAGUUUGACCCGCCGAAUCCCUACAAACGCGUGCUGACCUAUUAUGUUUUGUCCCGUAUUAAUUUUCUCGUGCGUGUCUGGACUGUCCGUAUACCGGAGAUUAAAUGUCCAUGUUUUAGGGACCAUUUUUCCAUGAAUGUUAGAGCGGUCAUUGGUAUUUUUGCGUGUAGGGUUUGCCGGUAGUUUAUUUUCCAGUAUAUAGGUGAUUAUCUCGCAUUAAUGUGUGGCAUUAUUUUGUGUUGCAACCCCACAUAUUUUAUAUGUUUUCGGGGUAGAAAAAUACCAUGGAUUUUUAUGUGCAAUUAGUUUUGCCAUUAGAGCAAGUUAGUUCGUGAGAUAUUUUGCCAUGUUGCCCUUUUGUUUAAUUCGUAGGAUUUAUUCCGUGCGUUGUUUGACGGAGUUGUCAACUAGAGAGUUGAUCUUGGAUGUUUUGUUUAGCCUCUGGUAUUUUUAGUUGUAAUAGAAAUGCAUGUUUAGGUGUGUUUUUCUUGCUCGUAAGUUGCUAGAAAUAGUGCUGUUUUAGGGGUGCUGAAAUAUUUCUAAGUCUGGAAUCUGUUAUAUUUUGUUGCUGUCUUGUCUUGCUUGCAUCUUGUGAUCUGUAGCUCUUUUGAGGUUGGUCCAAUGGAGUUAGUUGUACCCCUUGUGUUUCUCUAGCAUGCUGUGAAUUUUCAUGCCAUUUGGAGACCUCUGGCUUAGGAUUUUGCUGCUGUCAAUAUGCCUUCAGGCUGAAAACUGCACUUUCAUGAUGUGUUAUUUUCACUAAGUCUGAAAUAGUGUGUGAGAUGCCAUUUUGUGUCUUCUUUUCCUAGUGCUCCUUGCUGCCAUGCUAGUUGUUGUUAGCUGUUCGUAGUAAUGCUUCUUUCCCUCUUCCAUGCCAUGCCUUACUUGAGCAUAUCGGAGUUGUGUAGCCGUAGUUGUGGGGCGUAGAAAAUGGUAUGUGGCUGAUUUUGGCAGAUUGUAGUGUUUUCUUGUUAUGCUCGUAGUUUUCGAACCGUAGCUCCGUUUUUUCUUGCUUAGAAUCUCGUGUAGUUUCAUUUUCUCUUGCUGUUUGUAUGUGUUGAAGUGCUCGUAGCCGCCGUUGCACACAUUUUUGCAUUCAUGCUAUCAUAUCUUGCGGUGCUUGUAUCUUUUGAUCCGUAGCUCCGUUGGAGAUGUUCUUUAUGUGUAGAUUGCUUGCCUUGAUGCGUAGAAUCAUGUGAACCUAUUUGUUUUGCGGUUUAACAACUAAUCAAAUGCAUUAGUUCAGAUCUGGACAGAAUUGUAAAUUAACAUGUGAGGUCGUCUCGGAGAUGCUAUAUGUCAUUUCGGACCUCACUUAAAAUGCCUAGAUAGGUAGUUUAACUUCCGCUUCACCUCUUACAUGUUUGACAACAUUAAUAUUACCGUGUAGAUAACCGGGAGUGAACUAAAUAAUUAACGUGGAAUUUCGUCAAUAUGCAACUCGUUGCAUAUUGAACUUCACUUAAUGUGUAGUUUUGAUUGUGUGAAUUUGUCAUGCCGUGACUUGCAUGUAUUUAGCUGUUCAUGCAUCAUAUGUGUUGUGCUUCGUGUGGUGAAUAUCGUGUGUUGAUGCUUGUUUCCGGUUUCCCCGUCUCGAUAGAGUUCCGCAAGCGAGUCGGAUGUGAGGACCCGUUCGACUACAUCGGUUCGUCUGCUUCACGGAGGCAUUCUUCUUCCAAGCGGGAUCUCAGGCAAGAUGAUCAUUUCCCCAGAUACCAUUACUAUCAUUGUCAUGCUAGUUAUUUCGAUGCUAUCGCUUAUGUCUCGUUGCCUACCACUGUUAAUUAUCAGCCUCUCAACAAUGCCAUGAAACCUUCAACCUCUUCAACCUAGCAAACCACUGAUUGGCUAGGUUACUGCUUGCUUAACCAUGUUGAUAGCGUUACUAGUUGCAGGUGCAGAUGCUUCCAUGCGAAAGCAUGGGUUCCUUGUUAUAUCACCAUAUUUAACUGCUAUUUAAUUUAAUGCACCUAUAUACUUGGUAAAAGGUGGAAGGCUCGGCCUUUCUAGCCUGGUGUUUUGUUCCACCUUUGCCCCUUUUAGUUACCGGCUACCGGUGUUAUGUUCCAUAAAUGAGCGCUCCUAACACGAUCGGGGUUGUUAUGGGGACCCCCUUGAUAAUUCGUUUUAGAUUAAAGCUGGUCUGGCAAGGCCCAACAUUGGUACUACAUUUGCCUAAUCACCUAAUAAAUUGCAUAGGGACCCGCCGGCACCCGCGGACUAUUUUAAUCAACCCCCGGGCCAGUGCUCCUCAUGAGUGUUGGUCCAAAACAGAGCAGCUUAUUAACGCUACCCGGGGCAACUCGGCGUUUGGCGUGGUAACCAUAGCUCAUCCGUCGUGUCCUGAGAACGAGGUACGCGACUCCUAUCGGGAUCAUCGACACGUCGGGCGGCCUUGCUGGAUUAGUUUUACCUUUGACGAAAUAUCUUGUGCAUCGGGAUUCCGGUGAUGCUUUGGGUAAUCUCAGAGUUGAGGUUUUCCACCAGGGAAUCCGUCGAGAUCGCGAGCUUCGUGAUUGAGGAUUUCUAUGCGGCUUGUGGUAAUUUGUGAUGGACUAGUUGGAGCACCCCUGCAGGGUUAAAUCUUUCGGAAAGCCAUGCCCGCGGUUAUGUGGAACAUGGAAGCUUGCAUGCNNNNNNNNNNNNNNNNNNNNNNNNNNNNNNNNNNNNNNNNNNNNNNNNNNNNNNNNNNNNNNNNNNNNNNNNNNNNNNNNNNNNNNNNNNNNNNNNNNNNCCCCCAAACCCAAAACCUUACGUACCAACGUUCGGUUUUGGGGGGGGAGAGUCCCUCCCCCUUGGCUCGGCCGACCCCCUUGAGGGUCCUUGGACCCCAAGGCAAGGCCCCUCCCUCCCACCUAUAUAUACGGAGGUUUUAGGGCUGAUUUGAGACGACUUUUCCACGGCAGCCCGACCACAUACCUCCACGGUUUUUCCUCUAGAUCGCGUUUCUGCGGAGCUCGGGCGGAGCCCUGCUGAGACAAGGUCAUCACCAACCUCCGGAGCGCCGUCACGCUGCCGGAGAACUCUUCUACCUCUCCGCCUCUCUUGCUGGAUCAAGAAGGCCGAGAUCAUCGUCAAGCUGUACGUGUGCUGAACGUGGAGGUGCCGUCCGUUCGGUACUAGAUCGUGGGACUGAUCGCGGAAUUGUUCGCGGGGCGGAUCGAGGGACGUGAGGACGUUCCACUACAUCAACCGCGUUCUCUAACGCUUCUUCUGUACGGUCUACAAGGGUACGUAGAUCACUCAUCCCCUCUCGUAGAUGGACAUCACCAUGAUAGGUCUUCGUGCGCGUAGGAAAAUUUUUGUUUCCCUUGCGACGUUCCCCAACAGUGGCAUCAUGAGCUAGGUUCAUGCGUAGAUGUCUUCUCGAGUAGAACACAAAAGGUUUUGUGGGCGGUGAUGUGCGUUUUGCUGCCCUCCUUAGUCUUUUCUUGAUUCCGCGGUAUUGUUGGAUCGAAGCAGCUUGGACCGACAUUACUCGUACGCUUACGAGAGACUGGUUUCAUCGUUACGAGUAACCCCCUUUGCUCAAAGAUGACUGGCAAGUGACGGUUUCUCCAACUUUAGUUGAAUCGGAUUUGACCGAGGAGGUCCUUGGAUGAGGUUAAAUAGCAACUCAUAUAUCUCCGUUGUGGUGUUUGCGUAAGUAAGAUGCGAUCCUACUAGAUACCCUUGGUCACCACGUAAAACAUGCAACAACAAAAUUAGAGGACGUCUAACUUGUUUUUGCAGGGUAUGAUUGUGAUGUGAUAUGGCCAAUGAUGUGAUGUGAUAUAUUGGAUGUAUGAGAUGAUCAUGUUGUAAUAGAAAUAUCGACUUGCACGUCGAUGGUACGGCAACCGGCAGGAGCCAUAGGGUUGUCUUUAUACUAACAUAUGUGCUUGCAGAUGCGUUUACUAUUUUGCUAGGAUGUAGCUUUAGUAGUGAUAGCAUAAGUAGCACGACAACCCCGAUGGCAGCACGUUGAUGGAUGAUCAUGGUGUGGCGCCGGUGACAAGAAGAUCGUGCCGGUGCUUUGGCGAUGGAGAUCAAGAAGCACGAGAUGAUGGCCAUAUCAUGUCACUUAUGAAUUGCAUGUGAUGUUAAUCCUUUUAUGCACCUUAUUUUGCUUAGAACGACGGUAGCAUUAUGAGGUGAUCUCUCACUAAAAUUUCAAGACGAAAUUGUGUUCUCCCCGACUGUGCACCGUUGCUACAGUUCGUCGUUUCGAGACACCACGUGAUGAUCGGGUGUGAUAGACUCAACGUUCACAUACAACGGGUGCAAAACAGUUGCGCACGCGGAACACUCGGGUUAAGCUUGACGAGCCUAGCAUGUGCAGACAUGGCCUCGGAACACAUGAGACCGAAAGGUCGAGCAUGAAUCGUAUAGUUGAUAUGAUUAGCAUAGAGAUGCUUACCACUGAAACUAUUCUCGACUCACGUGAUGAUCGGACUUGAGAUAGUGGAUUUGGAUCAUGUACCACUCAAAUUACUAGAGAGAUGUACUUUUUGAGUGGGAGUUCUUAAGUAAUAUGAUUAAUUGAACUAAUUGUCAUGAACAUAGUCUAAUGGUCUUUGCGAAUUAUGAUGUAGCUUGCGCUAUAGCUCUACCUUUUUUAUAUGUUCCUAGAGAAAAUUUAGUUGAAAAUUGAUAGUAGCAAACUUUGCAGACUGAGUCUGUAAAACCGAGGAUUGUCCUCGUUGCUACGCAGAAGGCUUAUGUCCUUAAUGCACCACUCGGUGUGCUGCACCUCGAGCGUCGUCUGUGGAUGCUAUGAACAUCCGACAUACACGUUGCUGAUGACUACACGAUAGUUCAGUGCAAAAUACUUAAUGGCUUAGAAGCAAGGCGUCGAAAACGUUGUAAAACGUCACGGAACAUAAGUGAUGUUCUAAAGAGAUGAAAUUUGUGAUUUCAUGCUUGUGCCCUUGUUAAGAGGUACGAGACCUCCGACAAGAUUCUUUGUCCACAAACCACAGGAGAAAAGGCUCAAUCGUUGAGCAUGUGCUCAGAUUGUCUGAGUACGACAAUCGCUUGAAUCAAGUGGGAGUUAAUCUUCCAGAUGAGAUAGUGAUAGUUCUCCAAAGUCACUGCCACCAAGCUGUGAGAGCUUCGUGAUGAACUAUAACAUAUCAAGGAUACAUACAAUGAUCCUUGAGCGAUUCACGAUGUUUGACACUGCGAAAGUAGAAAUCAAGAAGGAGCAUCAAUAGUUGAUGGUUUGUGAAACCACUAAGUUUCAAGAAAGGCAAGGGCUAGAAGGGAUACUUCGUGAAACGGCAAAACAGUUGCUGCACUGAUGAAGAGACCCAAGAUUGAACCCAAACCCAAGACUAAGUGCUUCUAUAAUGAGGGGAACAAUCACCGAGGCGGAGCAACUCAAGAUACUUGGUAAAUAAGAAGGCUGGCAAAAGUCGAAAGAAGAGUGUUUGAUGUGCAUGAUGUUGAUGUGUACUUUACUAGUACUCCUAGUAGCACGAGGGUAUUGGAUACCGGUUCGGUUGCUAAGUGAUUAGUGACGCGAAAUGAAAGCUACGGCAUAAACGGAGACUAGCUAAAGGCGAGGUGACAAUACGUGUUGGAAGUGUUUCCAAGAUUGAUAUGAUCAAACGUCGCAUGCUCCCUCUACCAUCGGGAUUGGUGUUAAACCUAAAUAAUUGUUAUUUGGUGCUUGCGUUAAGCAUGAACAUGAUUGGAUCGUGUUUAUCGCAAUACGAUUGUUCAUUUAAGGAGAAUAAUGGUUACUCUAUUCUCUUGAAUAUUCACCUUCAAUGGUUUAUUGAAUCUCGAUCGUAGUGUUACACAUGUUCAUGAUAUUGGUGCCAAAAGAUACGAGUUAAUGAUGAUAGUACCACUUACUUGUGGCUCUGCCGCUUGAGUCAUGUUAGUAUAAAUUGCAUGAAGAGGCUCCAUGCUGAUGGAUCUUCGUACUCACCUCAUUUCAAAUCACUAGUGACAUGCAAAUCAUACCACAUGAGCAAGGCCUUGUUUUCAUUGAGAUGAAAUAAGAUAGUAACUUGUUGGAAGUGAUACAUUUUGAUGUAUGCAGUCCAAUGGGUGCUGAGGCACGUAGUGGAUAUCAUUAUGUUCUUACUUCACUGACGAUUUGAGUAGAUACAGGAGUAUUUACUUAAUGAAUCACAAGUCUGAAAUGUUGAAAAGUUCAAUUCCGUUUCAGAGUGAAGUUCGUCGUAACAAGAGGAUAAACUGUCUACGAUAUGAUCAUGGAAAUGAAUAUCUGAGUUACGAGUUUUGGUACACAGUUAAGACAAUGUGGAAAUUGUUUCGCAGUUCAUGCCACCUGGAACAUCAUAGUGUGAUGAUGUGUCUGAACGUCAUAGCCACGCACUAUUUGGUAUGGUGCAUACUAUGAUGUCUCUUAUCGAAUUACCACUAUCGUUUAUGGGUUAUGCAUUAGAGACAACCGCACUCACUUUAAAUAGGGCACCGCAUAUUUCCGUUGAGAUGACACAGUAUAGACUGAGGUUUAGAGAAAUCUAAACUGUCGUUUCUUGAAAGUUUGGGGCUUCGACACUUAUGUGAAGAAGUUUCAGUCUGAUAAGCUCGAACCCAAAGCGGAUAAAUGCAUCUUCAUAAGGAUAUCCAAAACAGUUGGGUACAUCUCCUAUCUCAGAUUCGAAAGCAAAGUGUUUGUUUCUAGAAACGGAUCCUUUCUCGAGGAAAGGUUUCUCUCGAAAGAAUUGAGUGGGAGGGUAGUAGAACUUGAUGAGGUUGUUGAACCAUCACUUCAACCAGUGUAUAGCAGGGCGCAGGAAGUUGUUCAUGUGGCGCCUACACCAAUUGAAGUGGAAGCUGAUGAUGAUGAUCAUUGAGCUUCGAAUCAAGUUACUACAAACCUCGUAGGUCGACAAGGUCGCGUACUGCUGCAGAGUAGUACGGUAACCCUGUCUUGGAGGUCAUGUUGUUGAGCAACAGUGAACCUACGAGUUAUGGAGAAAGCGAUGGUGGGCCCAGAUUCCGACAAAUGGCUGGAAGCCAUGAAAUCCGAGAGAGGAUCCAUGUGUGAAAACAAAGUGUAGACUUUGGUAGAACUACUUGAUGGUCAUAGGACUAUUGAGUAAAAUGGAUCUUUAAAAGAAGACAGACGAUGAUGGUGAUAAGUCACUAUUAAGAAACGCUCGACUUGUCGCAAAGAUGUUUUCGAUAAGAUCAAACAGUUGACUAUGAUGAGACUUUCUCACUCGUAGCGAUGCUAAAAGUCUGUUAGAAUUAUGUUAGUUGUUGAUGCAUUAUUUAUGAAAUAUUGCACGUAGGAUGUCAAAACAUUGUUUUCUCGACGGUUUCCUUGAGCAAACAUUGUAUGUGAUACAACUAGAAGGUUUUGUAGAUCCUAAAGAUACUAGCAAGUAUGCAAGCUCCAGUGAUCCUUCAAUGGACUGGUGCAAGCAUCUCAGAGUUGGAAUAUACACUUUGAUGAGAUGAUCAAAGAUUUUGGGUUUGUACAAGGUUUAUGAGAAACUUGUAUUUCCAAAGAAGUGAGUGGGAGCACUAUAGAAUUUCUGAUAAGUAUAUGUGGUUGACAUAUUGUGGAUCAGAAGUAAUGUAGAAUUUCUGUAAAGCAUACAAGGUUGUUUGAAAGAAGUUUUCAAAGGAAUACCUGGAUUACGCUACUUGAACGUUGAGCAUCAAAGAUCUAUGGAGAUUGAUCGAAAGCGCUUAAUAGAAGUUUCAACAAGAUGCAUGCCUUGACAAGUUUUUGAAAGAGUUCAAAAUAGACCAGCAAAGAAGGAGUUCUUGGUUGCGUUGUGAGGUGUGAAUUUGAGUAAGACUCAAAACCCGACCACGGCAGAAUAAAGAGAAUAGACGAAGGUCGUCUUCUAUGCCUUAGCCGUAGAAUCUAAAGUAUGCCAUGCUGUGUACCGCACCUGAAGUGUGCCUUGACUCAAAGUGUGUUAAGAGGUACAGAGAGUGAUCCAUGAUUGAAUCACUAGCAGCGGUCGAAAUUUAUCCUUAGUGACUAAUGGACUAAGGAAUUUUUCUCGAUUAUGGAGGUGGUUAAAGAGUUUGUCGUAAAGGGUUACGUCAAUGCAAGCUUUGACACUAAUCCGGAUAACUAUGAGUAGUGAAACGGAUUCGUAUAGUAGAGCAGAUAUUUGGAGCAUUUCCGAAUAGCGCGUAGUAGCAGCAUCUAUAAGAUGACAUAAAGAUUUGUAAAGAACGCACGAAUCUGAAAGUUUCAGAACCGUUGACUAAAACCUCUCUCACGAGCAAGACGUGAUCAGACCCCAUAACUAUAUGGGUGUUGGAUUCGUUGGAAUCACAUGGUGAUGUGAACUAGAUUAUUGACUCUAGUGCAAGUGGGAGACUGUUGGAAAUAUGCCCUAGAGGCAAUAAUAAAUUAGUUAUUAUUAUAUUUCUUAGUUCAUGAUAAUCGUUUAUUAUCCAUGCUAUAAUUGUAUUGAUUGGAAACACAAUACUUGUGUGGAUACAUAGACAAAACACUGUCCCUAGUAAGCCUCUAGUUGACUAGCUCGUUGAUCAAAGAUGGUCAAGGUUUCCUGGCCAUAGGCAAGUGUUGUCAGUUGAUAACGGGAUCACAUCAUUAGGAGAAUCAUGUGAUGGACUAGACCCAAACUAAUAGACGUAGCAUGUUGAUCGUGUCAUUUUGUUGCUACUGUUUUCUGCGUGUCAAGUAUUUGUUCCUAUGACCANNNNNNNNNNNNNNNNNNNNNNNNNNNNNNNNNNNNNNNNNNNNNNNNNNNNNNNNNNNNNNNNNNNNNNNNNNNNNNNNNNNNNNNNNNNNNNNNNNNNGGUGUUUGCGUAAGUAAGAUGCGAUCCUACUAGAUACCCUUGGUCACCACGUAAAACAUGCAACAACAAAAUUAGAGGACGUCUAACUUGUUUUUGCAGGGUAUGAUUGUGAUGUGAUAUGGCCAACGAUGUGAUGUGAUAUAUUGGAUGUAUGAGAUGAUCAUGUUGUAAUAGAAAUAUCGACUUGCACGUCGAUGGUACGGCAACCGGCAGGAGCCAUAGGGUUGUCAUUAUACUAACGUUUGUGCUUGCAGAUGCGUUUACUAUUUUGCUAGGAUGUAGCUUUUGUAGUAAUAGCAUGAGUAGCACGACAACCCCGAUGGCGACACGUUGAUGGAGAUCAUGAGGAUGGAGAUCAUGGUGUGACGCCGGUGACAAGAAGAUCGUGCCGGUGCUUUGGUGAUGGAGAUCAAGAAGCACAUGAUGAUGGCCAUAUCAUGUCACUUAUGAAUUGCAUGUGAUGUUAAUCCUUUUAUGCACCUUAUUUUGCUUAGAACGACGGUAGCAUUAUGAGGUGAUCUCUCACUAAAAUUUCAAGACGAAAUUGUGUUCUCCCCGACUGUACACCGUUGCGACAGUUCGUCGUUUAGAGACACCACGUGAUGAUCGGGUGUGAUAGACUCAACGUUCACAUACAACGGGUGCAAAACAGUUGCGCACGCGGAACACUCGGGUUAAGCUUGACGAGCCUAGCAUGUGCAGACAUGGCCUCGGAACACAUGAGACCGAAAGGUCGAGCAUGAAUCGUAUAGUUGAUAUGAUUAGCAUAGAGAUGCUUACCACUGAAACUAUUCUUGACUCACGUGAUGAUCGGACUUGAGAUAGUGGAUUUGGAUCAUGUACCACUCAAAUGACUAGAGAGAUGUACUUUUUGAGUGGGAGUUCUUAAGUAAUAUGAUUAAUUGAACUAAUUGUCAUGAACAUAGUCUAAUGGUCUUUGCGAAUUACGAUGUAGCUUGCGCUAUAGCNNNNNNNNNNNNNNNNNNNNNNNNNNNNNNNNNNNNNNNNNNNNNNNNNNNNNNNNNNNNNNNNNNNNNNNNNNNNNNNNNNNNNNNNNNNNNNNNNNNNUUUCCUCGACGGUUUCCUUGAGCAAACAUUGUAUGUGAUACAACCAGGAGGUUUUGUCGAUCCUAAAGAUACUAGCAAGUAUGCAAGUUCCAGCGAUCCUUCAAUGGACUGGUGCAAGCAUCUCGGAGUUGGAAUAUAUAUACUUUGAUGAGAUGAUCAAAGAUUUUGGGUUUGUACAAGGUUUAUGAGAAACUUGUAUUUCCAAAGAAGUGAGUGGGAGCACUAUAGAAUUUCUGAUAGGUAUAUGUGGUUGACAUAUUGUGGAUCAGAAGUAAUGUAGAAUUUCUGUAAAGCAUACAAGGUUGUUUGAAAGAAGUUUUCAAAGGAGUACCUGGAUUACGCUACUUGAACGUUGAGCAUCAAAGAUCUAUGGAGAUAGAUCAAAAGCGCUUAAUAGAAGUUUCAACAAGAUGCAUGCCUUGACAAGUUUUUGAAGGAGUUCAAAAUAGAUCAGUAAAGAAGGAGUUCUUGGUUGCAUUGUAAGGUGUGAAUUUGAGUAAGACUCAAAACCUGACCACGGCAGAAUAAAGAGAAUAGACGAAGGUCGUCUUCUAUGCCUUAGCCGUAGAAUCUAAAGUAUGCCAUGUUGUGUACCGCACCUGAUGUGUGCCUUGACUCAAAGUCUGUUGAGAGGUACAGAGAGUGAUCCAUGAUUGAAUCACUAGCAGCGGUCGAAAUUUAUCCUUAGUAACUAAUGGACUAAGGAAUUUUUCUCGAUUAUGGAGGUGGUUAAAGAGUUUGUCGUAAAGGGUUACGUCAAUGCAAGCUUUGACACUAAUCCGGAUAACUAUGAGUAGUGAAACGGAUUCGUAUAGUAGAGUAGAUAUUUGGAGCAUUUCCGAAUAGCACGUAGUAGCAGCAUCUAUAAGAUGACAUAAACAUUUGUAAAGAACGCACGAAUCUGAAAGUUUCAGAACCGUUGACUAAAACCUCUCUCACGAGCAAGACGUGAUCAGACCCCAUAACUAUAUGGGUGUUGGAUUCGUUGGAAUCACAUGGUGAUGUGAACUAGAUUAUUGACUCUAGUGCAAGUGGGAGACUGUUGGAAAUAUGCCCUAGAGGCAAUAAUAAAUUAGUUAUUAUUUUAUUUCUUAGUUCAUGAUAAUCGUUUAUUAUCCAUGCUAUAAUUGUAUUGAUUGGAAACACAAUACUUGUGUGGAUACAUAGACAAAACACUGUCCCUAGUAAGCCUCUAGUUGACUAGCUCGUUGAUCAAAGAUGGUCAAGGUUUCCUGGCCAUAGGCAAGUGUUGUCACUUGAUAACGGGAUCACAUCAUUAGGAGAAUCAUGUGAUGGACUAGACCCAAACUAAUAGACGUAGCAUGUUGAUCGUGUCAUUUUGUUGCUACUGUUUUCUGCGUGUCAAGUAUUUGUUCCUAUGACCAUGAGAUCAUAUAACUCACGGACACCGGAGGAAUGCUUUGUGUGUAUCAAACGUCGCAACGUAACUGGGUGACUAUAAAGNNNNNNNNNNNNNNNNNNNNNNNNNNNNNNNNNNNNNNNNNNNNNNNNNNNNNNNNNNNNNNNNNNNNNNNNNNNNNNNNNNNNNNNNNNNNNNNNNNNNCGUUCCAGCGCCACCGGCUGGGUCGCCUGGGGCAUCAACCCCGGCGGCGCCGGCAUGGCCGGCAGCAACGUCUUCCUCGCCUCGCAGGGCGGCGGCGGCGGCGCCGCCGUCUCCGUGCUCACCACCGUCCUGAGGAGCACGGCCCCGGCCCUGGACAACACCACCCUCCAGUUCGGCGUGCCGGUGCCGCCCACCGCCGAGUACGCGGCCGGCGCCUACACGAUCUACGUGACGGUGGCGCUGCCGGGGAACUCCACGCAGCAGAACACGGUGUGGCAGGCGGGGCCGGUCAGCGGCGGGGCCAUAAUGCCGCACCCGGUGUCCGGGCCCAACUUGCAGAGCGUUAAGAGGCAGGACUUCCUGUCCGGCUAGAGCGCCCGACGAGGCAUAUGUUUGUACGCAAAUACUGUCAGUGUCAUGAUCAUGGAGUAUAAAAUAAAUCGCACGGCUUAUUCCUCAUGUUCCUGCUAUUAGACGUCGACGUCGUAUCAAAUGAAGUGUGCGCUAAACACUGUUUAUACGCUCCCAGCCGGAUUUAGGGACAUGGCUUACGGCGAUUAGUAUUUUUUUUCCGACGAAUUCACAAAGCUUUAUUAAUACUAGCAAAAGGGCCCGUGCGUUGCAACGGGAGAAAGAAAAUACCACACGCUUUUAAUCUUUUUAUAAUCAUUUUGAUUUAUUAGAAUAAUAAGUUAACUAACUAAUGUAGCCAGUCCUAUCCUAUUUUGUUGAGAAAUCAACCCGUCCAUUGUUAAUUCCACCGUGAUGAGAAAUCGAACGGGACAAGCAAAGCAAAACAAAGAGGCUACGUGAAUUGAUCAAUGGACUGUUAUCUUAUUUCACCCAUGGGGUAGAGAAUGUGGGAUCAGAUGACAAACUGAAGGUGGUGUUCCAUUUUCUCUCUCUACAACAAUGCAAUCUUACAUUCAAUACAUUCAUUCAUCAGCAAAAAAAUUCUCACAAAACAAAAUUUCUUGCCGGUGCUUGGCACACGGUUGGAGAGCAUGGGGAGGGGAUCUCACCAAAUGAUGAGUUCCUGCCGGAGGAGGGGAUACGAUGAGGGGAGCAAGGGUUAGGCGCCUCUAUCUGGCCAUAAGGAGUCGCCGUUGCCGCGCCAUAACCUCGGAGUUCCCCGUGUGAGCCAUGGAGGCCCGCCUCCACCUGCAAGUACUUCGCUCCGCCGCGCCUUAUCCGCACGCCGUCGCCGUUCUGCAUCGAGUAGACGCAUCAUCCCAAGUCGAUGUAGCUGUCGCGUUGAUUUGAUCCAGAAGCUGUGCUCGAGCGCCGAAACAGGGGCAACAAACGGGCAGAGGUACGACCGCGGAGGCGGCUGGGUUGAGAUCGACAACAAUGGUGGUUGAGGUCGGCCGCGGCGACGAGUGGUGUGGCAGCGGCCUGGGCACAGGCCAGGGUGGACCAGGGUCAACGCGAUGCGCUCGAGCGCCGCAACGGGGGCAGUGAGCGGGGAGAGGUACAACCGCGGAGGCGGGUGGGUUGAGAUCGGCAGCGGUGGCGGUUGAGGUCGGCCGCGACGGCGAGUGGUGUGGCGGCCGCCUAGGCAUAGGCCAGGGGUGGCCGAGGGUCGAUGGGAGGAGGCGGUGCGUACGGGUAUAAUUUUUGCAGCGAAUCGUUUUUUCCUUUUGCGAUUACGAGAAGUAAAUGAUGGAGUGCGGGUUGAAUAACAAAAAUUACAGUUUUUUWWUAAAAUGCCAUGAUGGGUUUUCCGACGGAAGCAAUAGCCGCUUUAUUAUUAGGUAUAGACUAGCAAAAGGUCCGUGGUUGCAACGGAAGAAAAAAUAUCACACGGUUUUAAUUUUUAUAAUCAUUUUAAUUUAUUAAAAUAAUAAGCUAACUAACUAAUGUAGUAAGUCCUAUCCUAUUUUGUUGGAAAAUCAACCCGUCCAUUGUUAAUUCCAUCAUGAUGAGAAAUUGAGCGGGACAAUCAAAGCAAAACAAAGAGGCUACCUGAAUUGAUCAAUGGACUGUUAUCUUAUUUCACUCAUGGGCUAGAGAAUGUGGGAUCAGAUGACAAACUGAAGGUGGUGUUCCAUUCUCUCUCUCUACAACAACGCAAUCUUACAUUAAAUACAUUCAUUCAUCAGCAAACAAAUUCCCACAAAACAAAAUUUCGUGCCGGUGCUUGGCACACGGUUGGAGGCAUGGGGAGGGGAUCUCACCAGAUGAUGAGUUCCUGCCGGAGGAGGGGAUACAUUGAGGGGAGCAAGGGUUAGGCGCCUCUAUCUGGCCAUAAGGAGUCGCCGUUGCCGCGCCAUAACCUCGGAGUUCCCCGUGUGAGCCAUGGAGGCCCGCCUCCACCUGCAAGUACUUCGCUCCGCCGCGCCUUAUCCGCACGCCGUCGCCGUUCUGCAUCGAGUAGACGCAUCAUCCCAAGUCGAUGUAGCUGUCGCGUUGAUUUGAUCCAGAAGCUGUGCUCGAGCGCCGAAACAGGGGCAACAAACGGGCAGAGGUACGACCGCGGAGGCGGCUGGGUUGAGAUCGACAACAAUGGUGGUUGAGGUCGGCCGCGGCGACGAGUGGUGUGGCAGCGGCCUGGGCACAGGCCAGGGUGGACCAGGGUCAACGCGAUGCGCUCGAGCGCCGCAACGGGGGCAGUGAGCGGGGAGAGGUACAACCGCGGAGGCGGGUGGGUUGAGAUCGGCAGCGGUGGCGGUUGAGGUCGGCCGCGACGGCGAGUGGUGUGGCGGCCGCCUAGGCAUAGGCCAGGGUGGCCGAGGGUCGAUGGGAGGAGGCGGUGCGUACGGGUAUAAUUUUUGCAGCGAAUCGUUUUUUCCUUUUGCAUUACAGAUAAAUGAUGGAGUGCGGGUUGAAUAACAAAAAUUACAGUUUUUUUAUAAAAUGCCAUGAUGGGUUUUCCGACGGAAGCAAUAGCCGCUUUAUUAUUAGGUAUAGACUAGCAAAAGGUCCGUGGUUGCAACGGAAGAAAAAAUAUCACACGGUUUUAAUUUUUAUAAUCAUUUUAAUUUAUUAAAAUAAUAAGCUAACUAACUAAUGUAGUAAGUCCUAUCCUAUUUUGUUGGAAAAUCAACCCGUCCAUUGUUAAUUCCAUCAUGAUGAGAAAUUGAGCGGGACAAUCAAAGCAAAACAAAGAGGCUACCUGAAUUGAUCAAUGGACUGUUAUCUUAUUUCACUCAUGGGCUAGAGAAUGUGGGAUCAGAUGACAAACUGAAGGUGGUGUUCCAUUCUCUCUCUCUACAACAACGCAAUCUUACAUUAAAUACAUUCAUUCAUCAGCAAACAAAUUCCCACUAAAACAAAAUUAACUUGUCGGUCGGCGUGUCGUCGACGUACGGUACGGGUCGGANNNNNNNNNNNNNNNNNNNNNNNNNNNNNNNNNNNNNNNNNNNNNNNNNNNNNNNNNNNNNNNNNNNNNNNNNNNNNNNNNNNNNNNNNNNNNNNNNNNNUGCAAGCRAUGUAACUUAGUGUAAGUUACGGGAUCUUGUAUUACGGAACGAGUAAAGAGACUUGCCGGUAAACGAGAUUAGAAAUAGGUAUGCGGAUACUGACGAUCGAAUCGUCGGGCAAGUAACAUACCGAAGGACAAAGGGAAUGACAUACGGGAUUAUACGAAUCCUUGGCACUGAGGUUCAAACGAUAAGAUCUUCGUAGAAUAUGUAGGAUCCAAUAUGGGCAUCCAGGUCCCGCUAUUGGAUAUUGACCGAGUAGUCUCUCGGGUCAUGUCUACAUAGUUCUCGAACCCGCAGGGUCUGCACACUUAAGGUUCGACGUUGUUUUAUGCGUAUUUGAGUUAUAUGGUUGGUUACCGAAUGUUGUUCGGAGUCCCGGAUGAGAUCACGGACGUCACGAGGGUUUCCGGAAUGGUCCGGAAACGAAGAUUGAUAUAUAGGAUGACCUCAUUUGAUUACUGGAAGGUUUUCGGAGUUACCGGGAAUGUACCGGGAAUGACGAAUGGGUUCCGGGAGUUCACCGGGGGGGGCAACCCACCCCGGGGAAGCCCAUAGGCCAUAAGGGUGGAGCACCAUCCCUUAGUGGGCUGGUGGGGCAGCCCAAAAGGGCCCUAUGCGCCAAGGAUAAGAAAUCAAAGGAAAAAAAGGAGGAGGUGGGAAGGGAGGGGGACUCCCUCCCACCAAACCUAGUCCAACUCGGUUUUGGGGGGGGAGAGUCCUCCCCCUUGGCUCGGCCGACCCCCUUGAGGGUCCUUGGACCCCAAGGCAAGGCCCCUCCCUCCCACCUAUAUAUACGGAGGUUUUAGGGCUGAUUUGAGACGACUUUUCCACGGCAGCCCGACCACAUACCUCCACGGNNNNNNNNNNNNNNNNNNNNNNNNNNNNNNNNNNNNNNNNNNNNNNNNNNNNNNNNNNNNNNNNNNNNNNNNNNNNNNNNNNNNNNNNNNNNNNNNNNNNGAGAUAUAGUGAGUUGACUAUUUAACCUCAUCCAAGGACCUCCUCGGUCAAAUCCGAUUCAACUAAAGUWGGAGAAACCGUCACUUGCCAGUCAUCUUUGAGCAAAGGGGGUUACUCGUAACGAUGAAACCAGUCUCUCGUAAGCGUACGAGUAAUGUCGGUCCAAGCCGCUUCAAUCCAACAAUACCGCGGAAUCAAGAAAAGACUAAGGAGGGCAGCAAAACGCACAUCACCGCCCACAAAAACUUUUGUGUUCUACUCGAGAAGACAUCUACGCAUGAACCUAGCUCAUGAUGCCACUGUUGGGGAACGUCGCAAGGGAAACAAAAAUUUUCCUACGCGCACGAAGACCUAUCAUGGUGAUGUCCAUCUACGAGAGGGGAUGAGUGAUCUACGUACCCUUGUAGACCGUACAGAAGAAGCGUUAGAGAACGCGGUUGAUGUAGUGGAACGUCCUCACGUCCCUCGAUCCGCCCCGCGAACAAUUCCGCGAUCAGUCCCACGAUCUAGUUACCGAACGGACGGCAACCUCCACGUUCAGCACACGUACAGCUUGACGAUGAUCUCGGCCUUCUUGAUCCAGCAAGAGAGGCGGAGAGGUAGAAGAGUUCUCCGGCAGCGUGACGGCGCUCCGGAGGUUCGGUUGACUGACCCUUCGUUCCUACGUACGUCCGACGGGCGUCCCGUCCCGGACGCUGNNNNNNNNNNNNNNNNNNNNNNNNNNNNNNNNNNNNNNNNNNNNNNNNNNNNNNNNNNNNNNNNNNNNNNNNNNNNNNNNNNNNNNNNNNNNNNNNNNNNAGCAAUGUAACUUAAUGUAAGUUGCGGGAUCUUGUAUUACGGAACGAGUAAAGAGACUUGCCGGUAAACGAGAUUGAAAUAGGUAUGCGGAUACUGACGAUCGAAUCUCGGGCAAGUAACAUACCGAAGGACAAAGGGAAUGACAUACGGGAUUAUAUGAAUCCUUGGCACUGAGGUUCAAACGAUAAGAUCUUCGUAGAAUAUGUAGGAUCCAAUAUGGGCAUCCAGGUCCCGCUAUUGGAUAUUGACCGAGGAGUCUCUCGGGUCAUGUCUACAUAGUUCUCGAACCCGCAGGGUCUGCACACUUAAGGUUCGACGUUGUUUUAUGCGUAUUUGAGUUAUAUGGUUGGUUACCGGUAMUGUAGCAUCAUUCCCACUCUUCUUUUGUACUGAUUUUGUUUUUUUUCAGAUUUCUUCAUUUCAUUGUUUCCACUGUUUCGCUUUGGUUUCCUUCGAUUUUCUUCGGGUUUCUAUUCGUUUCCUUYGUUUYCYAACGGUUUUUCGUUUUUCCUCUUUGUUGUUUCUUUCUUUUUUUUCUAUGGUUUUGCAUCUUUUUUAACUCAUGUCUAUUUUUUUACACACAAUGUACAUUUUUUGUAUACAUCAGAAAUAACUUUUAUACAUGGUUAAAUAUAUGAUUACCAGUUUUCUUAAACACAUGUUUCGANNNNNNNNNNNNNNNNNNNNNNNNNNNNNNNNNNNNNNNNNNNNNNNNNNNNNNNNNNNNNNNNNNNNNNNNNNNNNNNNNNNNNNNNNNNNNNNNNNNNCGGAACGAAACGUAAAACUAAAACUUACCGUACGACCGACCGAACGAACGUAACCUACUACUAGUGGUGAUCGUCCAUCUACGAGGAGGGAGUGAGUGAUCUACGUACCUAGUAGAUCGUACAGCAGAAGCGUUAGAGAACGCGGUUGAUGUAGUGGAACGUCCUCACGUCCCUCGAUCCGCCCCGCGAACAAUCCCGCGAUCAGUCCCACGAUCUAGUACCGAACGGACGGCACCUCCGCGUUCAGCACACGUACAGCUCGACGAUGAUCUCGGCCUUCUUGAUCCAGCAAGAGAGACGGAGAGGUAGAAGAGUUCUCCGGCAGCGUGACGGCGCUCCGGAGGUUGGUGAUGAUCUUGUCUCAGCAGGGCUCCGCCCGAGCUCCGCAGAAACACGAUCUAGAGGAAAAACUAUGGAGGUAUGUGGUCGGGCAGCCGUGAGAAAGUCGUCUCAAAUCAGCCCUAAUACCUCAGUAUAUAUAGGAGGGAGGGGAGGGAAGAGGCAGCCUCAAACCCUCAAGGUUGCCGAAAUUGGAGGUGGAGGAGUCCUACUCCAAUCCUACUUGAGUAGGAUUCCACCUUCCCACUUCGAAACUACUUUCCUACCUUGUGUUUUUCUUUCUUCUAACCUUAACUUAGGUCCGUUACGUUGGGUACGUUAGUUACUACGNNNNNNNNNNNNNNNNNNNNNNNNNNNNNNNNNNNNNNNNNNNNNNNNNNNNNNNNNNNNNNNNNNNNNNNNNNNNNNNNNNNNNNNNNNNNNNNNNNNNAAGGGUUGGGUUUGAGGGAUUCUGUUAUAAGGGUUGCAUUUGAGGGUUCUAGUCUUUGCCUCAAUCCCAACCCUUAAAACUGUCAUUUGAUAUAUCAUAAUUUUCAUCAUCUCAAUAACAUCGAAUAGUAUUUUCAAACACAUAAUAUUAAUUCAAUUUAUUACAACAAUGUUUUAAAGCAAAUUAUAAUAAUUGUUUGAAUCAAAUAGAACAUGGAAAAGUAAACAAAGGUAGAUCAUGGGACUUGGCGCCGUCCAGCCAACUGCCACUGGUGCUCUACUUGAUCAUCCCGGAGCUGCCACUGGUACGCACUAAACCCCAUGAUACCGACGGCGUAUCUACGAUGCUUGAAGUAAUCUGAGUCAGCCUCACAAUCGGUGACAAUUUUUACAAACAAACUACGACACAUUCGGUACCUUCUCCGGAAGAGGCGAGGUGGGUAUGUCGGUACCUCCGCGAAGUAGUCUCGCAUCAAAUGUUCAUGUCCGAGACAGCGGUUCCGGUAGAUGGUGACUCGCGCCAUCUUCGACCCUCUCCUCUGAUCCAUCAGCUUCACGCGGUCUUCAAACUCUUUCACGUCGACGAGGAGGCCCAUCAUCUCGAUGUCAUUGUCUUGAAGCAAGUCCUCAAUGUCCGAAUCGUCCGAUGACGACCAACCGGAAUCAUCGGACAACACAUCCAUCUACACAACACAAAACAAAAAAUGUAGUGUUGUUCUGUAACAAAAAUACAGGAAACAGGGCCGGCCGGAGCCCACGAUGGAGGAGGCCGACGGUGUGGACGAGCUCAGGGCGGUGGAGGAGCUCGGGGNNNNNNNNNNNNNNNNNNNNNNNNNNNNNNNNNNNNNNNNNNNNNNNNNNNNNNNNNNNNNNNNNNNNNNNNNNNNNNNNNNNNNNNNNNNNNNNNNNNNUUUUUUUUUUUUUUUUUACAACAGUUUGCACUUUGCAGCGGCCUAGAUAUCACAGCAGGAACCGGUCUCCCUCCCUCGGUUAUUCAGCGCCUUUUUUUAGACGAAGGUUUAUCGUUCAGCAGCCAACAAGACUCUGUCCCGCGUACCGGCGUGGAAGUUUCCACCCGCACGGCAACCUCCCCAACAACCGCGCCAUCACGUCGCCGGCUCGCCGGCAGUGGUACAUAUACCUCCUCCCCCCCCACCUCCUCCUCUCACCACCACCAGCUCCCAGCACCACCAUCUCCAUCGCCUCCCGCGCUCCAUUUCGCGCCUCGAACCUCGUGCUCUGACCUCCACCGCUGCCAUGGCGCGGCCAGGCCACUCCACGGCGUGGCUCCCCGUCCUGGUGCUGCUGCUCUCCGCGGCGGGCGCGACGGCGCAGAGCUGCCUCUCCGCGACCUUCACGUCCGGCCGCACGUUCCUCAAGUGCAACCAGCUGCCCGUGCUCGGCGCCAGCCUCCACUGGACGUUCCACGCCCAGAACGGCACCGCCGACGUCGCGUUCCGGGCCCCGUCCGGCGCCGACGGGUGGGUCGCCUGGGGCAUCNNNNNN